UGGGCGCAGCUGGAAAGCCUUCGCCCACGCUCAUGGACUCGAGGACGGCUACGCCCUCCGUUUUAAGCUGACGGAGGCCCGUAUGCUCGUCGUCAAGUUCUACGGGCGCUCCGGUGUGCGUCUCGGCUGCUGCAAAGAAGGCUCGAGCGGCAUCGAAUGCUCCGCUUCGAGCGACAACAACGGGGAGGGCGGUAGCAGUGACGGUGCUGGGCCUAGUCUUAAGCAUGGGGGAAUCGAACCGGAGGAUGAUUCCCCCGGCUAGGACCGAGUGCUUCCUGCACUAGCGCGGCCGGAUCACGCCCCUCGCCCUCCUUGGAGGGGGGAUCUCAACCGGAUCCGUCGUCCCUUCCCGCGCCUUGACGAGGCCAAACCCGCUCCCGUCGGUACAACGCUGGUCCCGGAGGAGCCAACAUGGAUGUACCGCAGGCCUUGUCGCGUCUUGUCUUCAUGAACUCUAAUUCCUCCGCGUGGGUCGAUCCUCGUUUUAAAAGACAAAGUCUUUAGGUUAGGACAACAACGCAUUGUAAGUGCAAUCAAAUGUAUCUAGACGAAUGAAUGAAUAGAUGCAUCCUUUAUUUGACUCUCAUCUUGUAUGAUUAUUCUCUUGUACUUUCCACAUGCUUGCUGGCUUGAAUUAUCCUGCCGCGAGUACUUAGAGGAGCGGAUCCUCAGAAAACUCAACAGAGGAGGUCGUCACCGGCAAGACUCUUUGCCGCACUCAGUGCAACCAUGUAAAUCAUCGAGCGCGGCUCGAGGUGAAGUACGGUGCUACGAAGCCGCCGAAAACAUUGAACGAGUUCUAAACAAGAUGAGGGCGCUCUGUGGCCGGUCAAGUCGUUGAAUAGGAUAAAAACAAAGUCUGAGUGCACUGAUCUUAGCAAGGUCCAUCUACACGCGAGAUUUUCAUACAAAAGUCGAAACUUCGAAAGGAUACAACUAGUCUAUCCAGAGUCUAGCAAGAGGUUUGCCUUUGUACUUAUCUUGCGCGUCGCGGCAUUCUUAGCCGCAGCGUGUGAAGGUGCUGCCGGGGAGGAAUAUCUUGCACCACUGGCAAGAUCACGUUGCCCCCCAGCGGCCUCCUUGCUGACGAGGUUUUUGCCGGUGGCUUUUGGCCAGACUGAAGGAAAGAGGCGCGCCGGGGAGCAACACUUUCUCAUCUCUUUUGCAAGAGGUUUGCUGGCGGAGCCUCGGAGCGCAUCUUUCUGGCGUCACGGCGCUCCAAGGAGAAAUGCGAGCCAGAGGGUGCGUAAAGGGGCGGUUCGGGGCCUCAGACGCGUCCUCGACGACUAUGCAGCACUCCGGAGAUGUGCGAUGGCCGGAGUAAGCGUCGGAGGCCUCGCAGAAGCUCCUUGUCACGCCCUCGACAGCAGCGCGAGCAUUCCAAGGAGGUGUAUCAGCCGGGCUAUGCAGAGCUCGGGGCUUCCGCUCCUUCCACCGGCGCUUGCAUAACACCCAUGGAGGUGCUAUGUGCUCUCGCGCGCAAGCAGAGCAGCCACUGCCUCCUCUCGCUCCGGGAGGACGCUGCAGCGAAUUGAGAUCCAUUGAGCCGUCGAACGGCUCGUCGGAUCGGGACGGCACUGACGCCGGCCUGCUUCCGGCGAUCCCCCUACCUGGCGCGCCAAGGAUGUCGGUGAAAGGAUUGACACAUAUGGGGGCCUCGACGGUCCCCUUUUGCUUGUUUGGCAGGGUGAGGGGUCGCGGCAAGAGCAGAACCAAUAGUCAGGGCCCGACUAGAUCAUUUUUACCGAGGUUCAGGCCGCGUUGUGCAUAAAACCCUACUCCUGCAUGUGUUUAGUUAUUUGUUUUAGUUUACUGUAGAUCUGUCCCUCUUACAGCCUUUCGAUUGGUCAAAAAGCCAAAAGUCCUUUCUACCGAGCCUCGGGCCUCCUUUUAUAGGCCAAGGGGUCACCACAGUGGCUCAGUGGGUGAACGGUGGGUUCACGAGUGGAACAAUGCCGACCGCCCGCCACAGUGUUACUGCGGUGCAUUAAAUGCUUCGACAGACUUCCUGACCUUGUCAGGGGGGUUGGACAGUGCUGCCUCUUGAGCUUGCGUUGGUUUUUCCAUUGAAGAGGAAAGGGUGAUGCAGCACAGGAGCAGUAAGUAUUUCCCUCAGUGUGAGAACCAAGGUAUCAAUCCAGUAGGAGAAUCGAGGUCAAGUCCAGAGUACCUGCGCAAACACAAAAGAGCUUGCACCCAACGCUAUAAAGGGGUUGUCAAUCCCUUCAAGAUUGAUUGCAAAGUGAGAUCUGAAGGCGGAAAGUGCAAUGAAGUAAAAGUAUAAGGCUGAAAAUAUGGUGUGAAGUAGACCCCGGGGCCAUAGUGUUCACUAGAGGCUUCUCUCAAAAUAGCAAAUAAUACGGUGGGUGAACAAAUUACUGUCGAGCAAUUGAUAGAACCGCGCAAAGUCAUCACGAUAUCUAAGGCAAUGAUCAUACAUAUAGGCAUCACGUCCGAGACAAGUAGACUGAUACUUUCUGCAUCUACUACUAUUACUCCACACAUCGACCGCUAUCCAGCAUGCAUCUAGUGUAUUAAGUUCAUGACGAACAGAGUAACGCCUUAAGCAAGAUGACAUGAUGUAGAGGGAUAAACUCAAACCAAUGAUGAAAACCCAACCUUUUUACCCUUGAUGGAAACAACAUGAUGCGUGCCUCGUUGCCCCUUCUGUCACUAGGAGAGGUCACCACACGGUAUGAACCCAAAACCAAGCACUUCUCACAUUGCAAGAAUCAUAGAUCAAGUUGGCCAAACAAAACCCACAACUCGAAGAGAAUUACAAGGAUAUGAAAUCAUGCAUAUAAGAGAUCAGAAGAAACUCAAAUAAGAUUCAUAGAUAAUCUGAUCAUAAAUCCACAAUUCAUCGGAUCUCGACAAACACACCGUAAAGAAGAUUACAUCAGAUAGAUUUCCAUGAAGAUCAUGGAGAACUUUGCAUUGAAGAUCCAAGAGAGAGCAGAAGCCAUCUAGCUACUAGCUAUGGACUCAAAGGUCUAUGGUGAACUACUCACGCAUCAUCUGAGAGGUCAUGGUGUUGAUGAAGAAGCCCUCCGUAUCCGAAUCCCCCUCCGACAGGGCACCAAAACGUGCCCCAGAUGGGAUCUUGCGGAGAUAGAAGCUUGCGGCGGCGGAAAAGUAUUUUCGUGGAUCUCUCUCACAGUUUUGGAAUUUUUCUGAAUUUAUAGGCGGAAGAGGUAGGGCAGACGAGCCACACGGGGACCACAAGCCUGCUAGGCGCGGGGCCCCCCGGCCGCGCCUAGGGGGCCUGUGGGGUCCCCUGGUGGCCCCUGCCUUGGUUCUCAAGUCUCGUGCGUAUCUUCUGUUCCGGAAAAAAAUAUUUUGGAAGUUUUAUUCCGUUUGGACACCGUUUAAAAUCCUCCUCUGAAAAGGGUCAAAAACACGGAAAAAACAAGAACUGGCACCUGACACUGAGUUAAUAAGUUAGUCCCAAAAAAGAUAUAAAAGACAUACAAAACAUUCGAAGUUUGACAAGAUAAUAUCAUGGAACCAUCAAAAAUUAUAGAUACGUUGGAGACGUAUCAAGCACCCCCAAACUUAACUCCUGCUCGUCCUCGAGUAGGGAAGUGAUAAAGACUGAAUUUUCGAUGUGGAAUGCUACCUAGCAUAGUUGUUCUUUGUAACUUAUUUCAUGUGCCAUGAAUGUUCAGAUCCGUAAGAUUGAAAACAAUAGUUUGCUAUUGACAUGAAAACAAUAAUACUUCAAGCAAACUAGCAAGGUAAUCAUGAACUUUCGAAAUAACAAGGCCAAAGAAAGUUAUGCCUACAAAAUCAUAUAGUCUGGCUAUGCUCCAUCAUCCUCACAGAACUAAUUUAAAUCAUGCACAACCCCGGUAUUGGCCAAGUAAUUGUUUUUGCACUCUUACUUUCUCAAACCUUUUACAACUAUCACGCAAUACAUGAGCGUGAGCCAUGGAUAUAGCACUAUAGGUGGAAUAGAGUGUGGUGGUGGUUGUGAGACAAAAAAGGAGGAGAUGGUCACAUUGACUCGGCGUAUCAAAGGGCUAUGGAGAAGCCCAUUAAUAGAUAUCAAUGUGAAUGAGUAGGGAUUGCCAUACAAAGGAUGCACUAGAGCUAUAAGUAUGUGAAAGCUCAAAAGGAGAACUAGUGGGUGUGCAUCCAACUUGCUUGCUCACGAAGACCUAGGGAAAUUUGAGGAAGCCCAUCAUUGGAAUAUACAAGCCAAGUUAUAAAAUAAAGAUUCCCACUAGUAUAUGGUGGUGACAAAACAAGAGACUCUCAAUCAUGAAGAACAUGGUGCUAUUAUGAAGCACAAGUGUGGAAAAGAUAGUAGCAUUGUCCCUUCUCUCUUUUUCUCUCUUUUUUUAUUUGAGCUCUUUGGCCUCUUUUUUUCUCUUUUUUUUAUGUGGGCAACUUUGGCCUCUUUUUUUUAUUUCCUCACAUGGGACAAUGCUCUAAUAAUGAUGAUCAUCACACUUCUAUUUACUCACAGCUCAAAGCUUAGAACGAUCAUGACUCUAUAGGAAAUGCCUCCGACAGUGUACCGGGAUGUGCAACGAUCUAGCUUGGCGUAUGACAUUGAAAUAUCUCGCUAGCUAUCUUACGAUCAUGCAAUGGCAAUAUGAGAGUGACGACACAAGUCAUGAGAUGGAACGGUGGGAGUUGCAUGGCAAUAUAUCUCGGAAUGGCUAUGAAAAUGCCAUAGUAGGUAGGUAUGGUGGCUGUUUUGAGGAAGGCAUAUGGUGGGUUUGUGCACCGGCGAAAAUUGCGCGGUACUAGAGAGGCUAGCAAUGGUGGAAGGUGAAAGUGCAUCUAUACCAUGGACUCACAUUAGUCAUGAAGAACUCACAUACUUGUUGCGAAAGUUUUUAUUAGUAAUCGAAACAAAGUGCUAAACGCAUACUCCUAGGGGAAGGGUUGGUAGGUGUUAACCAUCGCGCGAUCCCGACUGCAACACAAAGGAUGACAAUCAAUAGAUCAAUUAUGCUCCGACUUCCUAACAUAGCAGUUCACCAUACAUGCAUGUUACGGGAAUCACUAACUUGAACACAAGUAUUUCUAGAUUCACAACACCCUACUAACAUAACUCUUAAUAUUACCGAGUCCACGUCUCAAAACUAAUUGAGAGGAAUCAAACUUCUCUUUCUACUCAAUGCUCAUGAAGAUGGAAGUUUUUGUAUCCUCUUUGGGUACCUAUCACCUUUGGGACUAUUUUCAUGGCACAAACCAACUACCAAAUCACGCACCGCCAUGCUCUAAAAGAUCUAAGUGAAGCACAGAGAGCAAAAAUUAUCUAGCUCAAAAGAUAUAAGUGAAGCACGAUGAGCAUUCUAGCAAAUUCACGAUGAGUGCAUGUAUGUCUCAAAAGGUGUGCAACAAGGAUGAUUGUGACACAACAAAAAGAAAAGACUCCUACGAUACAAGACGCUCCAAGCAGAACACAUAUCAUGUGGUGAAUAAAAAUAUAGCUCCAUGUAAUGUUACCGAUGGAUUGAAGACGAAAGAGGGGAUGCCUCCCGGGGCAUCCCCAAGCUUAGGCUUUUUGGUGUCCUUGAAUUUGUCUUGGGAUUCCUUGGGCAUCCCCAAGCUUGAGCUCUUUCCACUCUUUAUCCCUUUGUCCAUGAGAACAUCACCCAAAACUUGAAAACUUCACAACACAAAACUUAAACAGAAACUCAUGAUAUCAUUAGCACAAGAAAACAAACUACCACCUCUUUAGGUACUUUAGCAAUCUUGAUUUCUAUUUAUCUUGGUGUUAGAUUACCGUAUUCUCACUUUUCCAUGGCUAGUACCCCCCGAUACUAUCCAUAGUUUCAUCAAAACAAGCAACCAACACAACAAAAACAGAAUCUGUCAAAAACAGACCAGUGUGUAGGAAUUUGUAUACUUAGUAUACUUCUGGUACCUCAAAAAUUCUGAACAAUUACGAUUGCCUGGGAAAAAGGAAUAUCAACCAGAAGAAAAAAGAAUAAACUCAAAAUCUCUUUCUUAAUAAAAAUGAAAAAUAAUCUCGUGAGCGAAAAGUUUCUGUCUUUUUCCAGCAGGAUCAAACAACCAUCACCAAGACUAGUCAUAAAGGUUUUGCUUGGCUCAAACACAAAAAGAAACACAAAAGUCACAAUCAUAACAUAAUUAUGAUGGUGUGUAUGCAACAAAACAGAAAUAAAAAGAUAAAUUCAUUGGGUUGCCUCCCAACAAGCGCUAUUGUUUAACGCCCUUAGCUAGGCAUAAGGCGAUAGAAUCGUGUAUCGUCGUCUUUGGUGCUCAAACCAUAAGUAGCCCUCAUCAUAGAUUCAUAAGAAAAUCUUAUUUUUCUAGGAAAAUCCUCCAUGCCCUUUGAUACGUCUCCAACGUAUCUACUUUUCCAAACUCUUUUGCCCUUGUUUUGGACUAUAAUUUGCAUGAUUUGAAUGGAACUAACCUGGACUGACGCUGUUAUCAGCAGAAUUGCCUUGGUGUUAUUUUUGUGCAGAAAUCAAAGUUCUCCAAACGUCCUGAAAAUUUACGGGGAGCAGUUUUGGAAAAUAUCAAAAAUAUCUGCGCCAAGUUCCACCUCAAGGGGUGGGCCAGUGGGCCACCACCCCCUCGUGGCGGUGGGCAGGCUUGUGGGGCCCAUAGGCACCUGCCGCCCCCAACUCCAGCUCUAUAAGUUGUCUUUCAUCUGAGAAAAAAAUAAAAAUAGAAGUUUUCGUCGCGUUUUCGAUACGGAGGCACCGCCACCUCCUGUUCUUCAUCUGGAGGGCAGAUGUGGAGUCCGUCUUGGGCUCCGGAGAGGGGAAAUCGUCGCCAUCGUCAUCAUCAACCUUCUUCCCUCUCCAAUUCCAUGAAGCUCUUCGUCGUUUGUGAGUAAUCUAUUCGUAGGCUCGCUGGGCGGUGAUGAGUAGAAUGAGAUCUAUCAUGUAAUCGAGUUAGUUUUGAUGGGGAUUGAUCCCUAGUAUCCACUAUGUUAUGAGAUUUGAUGUUGCUACUACUUUGCCAUGCUUAAUGCUUGUCACUAGGGCCCGAGUGCCAUGAUUUCAGAUCUGAAAUUAUUAUGUUGUCACCAAUAUAUGUGUGUUUCAGAUCCGAUCUUGCAAGUUGUAGUUACCUACUAUGUGUUAUGAUCCGGCUACCCCGGAGUGACAAUAACCGGAACCACUCCCGGUGAUGACCAUAGUUUGAGGAGUUCAUGUGUUCACCAAGUGCUAAUGCGUUGGUCCAGUUCUUUAUUAAAAGGAGAACCUUAAUAUUCCGUAGUUUCCUUUUGGACCCUGCUGCCACGGGAGGGAUGGACAAUAGAUGUCAUUUAAGUUCUUUUCCCUAAGCACGUAUGACGACACACGGAGUGGAUGCCUACAUCACAUUGACGAAUGGGAGCUAGCCACAUAUCUCUCCGUGUUAUAGGUGUUGCAUGAUGAAUAUCAUCCAAACAAAUCACCGACCCAUUGCCUACGAGUUUGUCCUACUGUUGCUACUGCUGUUAUUUGUCUUGCUCUGCUGCUGCUACUACUACUAUUGCUACUGGUGUUACUUGUUUUGCUCUGAUGCUACUGUUGCUACUACUGUCGCUUGCUACUGUUGCUACUUGCUAUUGCUGUCACUACUACUGUUCCUUGCCACUCCUAUUGCUCGCUUCACUGCCGUUACUCGCUACUUUGCUGUUACUACUGUGCUUGCAGAUACUAAUCUUUCAGGUCUGGUUGAAUCUAACAAAUUCAGCUACUAAUACUUGAGAGUAUACUCUCACCUCCUGACGGGCUUAUCAACAAAUUGGGUCGAAUACUCUACCCUCGAAAACUACUGCGAACCCACGCGCUGGUGGGCCAUCAACAACAUUCUUCCAGUUUCAUUGCCGGGGAGUGCUAGUAGCAUUCUUCUGGUGCCGUUGCAGGAGAAGGUUCGUUGUCAUAAGCAUUCGUCUAGCUAACGGCAGAGUUUGCAGGAUCAGCCCUUUUCUGGAGACAUUGCCAGGGAAGCACAGCUGACGUCAGCAUUUUUCUGGCGCCGUUGCCGGGGAGGUAUUUCUAUAUUCUCUGAGUUACUUGGGAUUUAUAUCUGCUGAUCACUAUGAAGAAUCUGAAGGAUCCGAAGACCAAAGUCUCGCCCUCAACUACGAGGGGAGGUAAGGAAUUGCCAUCUACCUCUGCACUUGAUUCACCUUCAGUUAUGAGUAAGUUUGCGACUUCACCUCCUGCUCGAAAUAUUGAUAUGUCGCCUGUGCUUGAUGAUGCUUGUGAUACUACUGCUAGAGAUGCUAUGGCUGAUACUACUGCUAGAGAUGCUAUGCUUGAUACUACUGCUAGAGAUGUUAUGCUUGAUACUAUGCGAGAUACUGCUAGACAUGCUAUGCCUGAUACUGCUAGAGAUGCUAUGCUUGAUACUGCUUUGCCUGAUGAUGCUAGAGAUGCUAUUUUGCCUGAUGAUGCUAUGCUUGAUACUGCUAGAGAUGCUCCUUUUCCUGCUCCACUAGGAGUGUUCCUUGAUGCUCAUAUUGCUAGAGUUACUGCCAAUGCUCGUGAUGCUUCUGAAAUUACCGAUACUAUUGAGAUAGAACCUGCUUUUGCUCCUGCUAGAUCUAGCUCUCCUAGAUAUGAAUUGCCUGAUAUACCUGAGGGUUACGUUAUGGAGGAAGAGAUAGCUGAGGACUUUCUUGCGUGUAAGGAUGCCUAUGACGCUGAGAAAUUAAUUCUCAAGUGGAAGGAAAAAUCUCGGGAAGUUAGGAUGAAAAAUGAUCCGAAGUUUGCCACGUCGCCUAUCUUUGUCACCGAUAAGGAUUAUGAAUUCUCUGUCGACCCUGAGAUAAUCUCUCUAGUUGAAUCUGAUCCUUUUCACGGUUAUCAGUCUGAGACGGUCAUAACCCAUCUUGCCAAACUAUCCGAAAUAGCCAACCUUUUCACUAAUGAGGAGAAGAUCCGCCACUACUAUAUCCUUAAGCUGUUUCCUUUUUAUCUAAAGGAUGAUGCUAAAGCCUGGUUCACCUCUCUUGCUCCUGGAUGUGUGCGUAGUCCCCAGGAGAUGGUCUAUUACUUCUGUGAGAAAUAUUUCCCUGCCCAUAAGAAGCAAGCUGCCUUGCAGGAAAUAUACAACUUUUCUCAAGUCCAAGAAGAGAGUCUUCCACAAGCUUGGGGGAGGCUCGUCCAGCUACAUAAUUCUUUGCCUGAUCACCCUCUCAAGAAGAACGAGAUACUUGAUAUCCUCUAUAACGGACUUACCGAUGCCUCUAGAGACUACCUAGAUAGUUGUGCCGGUUGUGUUUUUAGGGAACGAACUGUAGAACAAGCUGAGACUCUACUGAAUAACCUCUUGAUCAACGAUAAUGCUUGGACUAUUCCCGAACCACCUCCUAAGACAACUCCGAAGAAAAGAGGUAUUCUAUUCCUCAGUCCCGAAGAUAUGCAAGAAGGCAAGAAAUCUAUGCAAGAGAAAGGCAUUAGAUCUGAAGAUGUCAAAAAUCUACCACCUAUCGAAGAGAUCCAUGGUCUCGAUAACCCGAUACAGGUAGUAGAAGUGAAUUCUCUACGUAGGUUUGACGAGAGUGAUAUUCCUUUUGAUAAACCUGCUAGCCUAUGCUUUGAUGAAUUUGACAACUUUGUUGCCAAACAACAGAGUUUCAAUGAUUAUGUUAGCAGACAUUUGGAACAAAGUACUCGUAUGCUUAGCCAUUUAAGUGCUUGUGUAGACAGAAAUGUCAAUGCUUUGAAGCUCCUGAGUAAACAUGCCUCUAUGAUUACUACUCAGGUAGAACAACUCUGUCAGAGUCAUUACUAGAGGAGGCAAAAUGACUCAGUAACCUUUGUAUCCUGAAGGUCAUCCUAAGAGAAUUGAUCAAGAUUCUCAAGGAACCAAUGCUGAUACACCUAGUCAUCCUAAGGAGAAGAAGAAGGAUGAUAGAAACCUGCACGCCAGUUCACCAAAUCUAUCACACCUGAAGAACCUAAUGAUAUUUCUGCGUCUGAUGCAGAAACACAAUCAGGUGAUGAACAUGAACCUGAUGACAAUGUGGACAGUGAUGUUCAUAAUAAUGCUCAACCUAGCCAUGAUGAGGAUGUGGAGAUUGAACCUACGGUUAAUCCUGAUAAUCCACAACCUAAGAGAUACGACAAGAAUGACUUUACAGCUAGGAAGCAUGGUAAAGAAAGAGAGCCAUGGGUUUAGAGACCUAUGCCCUUUCCUCCUAAGCCAUCCAAGAAAAAGGAUGAUGAGGAUUUUGAGCGCUUCGUUGAGAUGAUAAGACCCGUCUUUCUGCAUAUGCAAUUAACUGAUAUGCUCAAGAUGUCUUCGUAUGCCAAGUACAUGAAAGAUAUCGUGACUAAUAAACGGAAGAUACCAGAUCUUGAGAUCUCCACCAUGCUUGCCAAUUACACUUUCAAAGGUGGAACUCCUAAGAAACUUGGUGAUCCCGGAGUGCCCACUAUACCUUGCUCCAUUAAAGGAAACUACGUGAGAACUGCCUUAUGUGACCUUGGAGCCGGUGUUAGUGUUAUGCCACUCUCUCUUUAUUGUAGACUUGAGUUGGAUAAGUUGACACCCACUGAAAUUUCUCUGCAAAUGGCCAAAAAAUCAACUGCUUUCCCUAUCGGCAUUUGCGAGGAUGUGCCUGUUGUGGUUGCUAAUACCACUAUCUUAACAGACUUUGUUAUCUUGGAUAUUCCCGAGGACGAUGCCAUGGCUAUCAUCCUCGGAAGACCCUUUUUAAACACUGCAGGGGAUGUUAUAGAUUGCAACAAAGGCAAUGUCACUUUCCACGUCAACGGUAAUGAGCACACAGUGCACUUUUCAAAGAAACGAUAUCGAGUACAUUGCAUCAAUGCUAUUGAAAAGACUUCAUCGAUUCUUAUUGGGAGCUUUUAAUGCCCUAUUCCUCGUGUCAAGAUGAAGUAUGAUUUGCUUGUUGGGGAGAUUCAUAUCCCCAUUGAGGUGACUUAGUGGCUAUUCGAAAAUUCUCCGUUCUCUCUUGCGAUUCGAGAAGGUUUUGUCAUAAGGACUUGAUCAACCCCAUUGACGAAUUUCUUCCGAUGACCAUGAAACGGAUGAAUCAGAGAGUCACAUACCUCUGUUUUGAGUCUUCAUUUUCUGUUGCUUAGAAGAAAAAUGAUAGAAUUAGUUUAGCUUUUCCUGUUUUCUGUUCUAGCGUCCCGAAGAAAAAUACCUCGAAAAUAAAAGUUCUCCGAUGGUCUUGAAAAUUUAGUAUGAUUUUUUCUGGAAUUUUUGAAAAUUUCUGGGCCUGAGAGCUGGUCAGGGGGCCUGACCAGUGGGCCACAAGCCCCCCCCAACCGCUACCUACCCCUGGUGGCGGGGUGCAAGCUUGUGGGGCUCACAUGCAUCCCCUCCACUCAUUCCAGCUCCCAGCCUCUUCUUCCACCUCCAGAAAAAUUGUUUCGCAGCUCAAACCUGUGUUCUUGCUCAUUUGGAUGUGAUUUUCGAUUUCCUUGCUCAAAGCACCAUUCUCCGAACCGUUUUGGGGAACUUACUCCUUGGUAAGUGACUCCUCCAUUGGUCCAAUUAGUUUUUGCUCUAGUGCUUUAUCCUUUGCGAAUUCUUGCUACCUUGGUGACCCUGUUCUUGAGCUAGAAAAGUUGAUUUUAGCUGGCACCAAGUAGUUUUAGCACAUGAUACAGUCUCUAGGCACUAGUAGGAGUAGUUGCUACAAGUUGGGUUAACCCUUAUUCACUUUUCUUUCGAAGUCUCUAAAAAUUUCAGAAUUUUUCAGAGCUAGAAAAAGGAAGAGAUGAGGAGGUUCUUGAGAGGCUCUUCAAGCCGUAACCACAAGGAGGAUGAGAAGAAUCACCCCAAGUACAUAGUCCCUCGAGUCACAGAAGUUCGAGCGUGCGAGUUUCCAAGUGAUGAAUUUUUGCGCGCCACCGGACUUUAUGAAGACUUGUAUUACUUGGUGGAGAACGCAGGUCUUACUGCGUUCGUUGAAGAUAAGUGCCCACAAUAUCUCCUCUUCACCAAUAUUUUCGUUCAAAGCUUGAACUUUUAUCCGUGGAAGAAUCCUCCCAUGGUUGAGUUCAUGAUAUACGAUGUUCCCCAGUGCAUGAGGCUGCAGGAUUUUUGCAAUGUAUGCAAAUUACCUUAUGUUGGGGAUAUCCGUGACCCUCGUCCACGGGACUUGGAGGAUUUCAUUGGUUCUAUUGCUGUUGGAGAGGAGAGAGGAGUGUCUCACGCUAGAAUUGCUAGCAUACAUUUUCCUGUGCUUCGGUACUUCUCACUAUUUGUGGGAAAAUGUUUGAUUGGCCAUGGGGAGGCUGGAUCACUUAGUUCUCCAGACCUUGCGGUUUUGCAUGAAGGCCUUUAUAACAACAAGACUUAUAGCUUGGGCGCUAUAGUAGCUCAACGGUUGAACCUGAACCGUUCUAAAGGUGUUGUCUAUGGAGGUAUCUAUGCUACCCGUCUUGCCAAACACUUUGAGAUACCGAUUAGACUGGGAGAGGAAGGAGAGAUGCUUCUCCCUGAGAGAUAUCUGGAUUAUGGCAGCAUGGUUCGCCAUGAUUUUCUGGAUAGAGAUGCUUGUAGACGGAUGAUUUAUAACCUGGUGUUUAGUCAGGGUACUCGAGAGACUAUUACUUUGCCUGCUCCUUCUUUGUUUGAUCUUCAUGCAGGCAGGUACACUAUUAUGCCCGCAGACAUCUAUGCAUAUUGGGGCUUGGCCCAACCACAGGCGCACGUGCCCGAGCCGCCAGUCGAGUACUAGACGCCAGUUUAUCAGUGGGAGCCAGAGGAGCUCACACAGCAGUGGCAUCCACAGUCUGCUCCGGAGUAUCCUGGAGCUGGUUAUUUCCCACCUUGGGAGUAGACCAAGCUAGGCCAAAAGCCUAAGCUUGGGGGAGUACGUGUUCUCACCGACUUUACUUUCAUGCUUAUGCUCUCACUUUGUUAUCCGGUGUUUACACUUUGCCACUUUAUUAUCCAUGCUAGUUUCUUUUCGUUUUCUUGUUUUCUUGUUUUGUGUCCUUUUGAGAAAACCCAAAAAGAUUUUUCUUUCUUCUUUUGCUUGUUGGGAGCUUUCCCGUGUAAAUAGUUUUCUUUUUCUUUGUGUCAAGGUAGAAGAUAUUGGUUACAAUGCUUAGUGGUUCUUACAUGCUUACCUAUUUAGCUUUCAAAGAGCCAUAUUAUUUUGUCUUCUCCUUUGUGUUUGCGUGCAGAUUCAGCUUAGUCCAAUGCGCUUAUUAUCGUUUUCAUCGUUCGAUCGUGCAAAUGAAAGGCAACAAUGAUGAUAUAUGAUGAAGUGACUGAGACUGAAAAGCUGGUAUGAACUCUAUCUAUUUUGUUUUUGUAAAUAUGACUAGCUUGUUGACCCAGAUUUAGCUUUGUUGUGAGAGGACCAUGUUUGCAAUGACAACUUAGAGAUCAUAGUUUCUGAUGCCAUGCUUAUUUAGCUGAGAGCUUAUAAUGGUUUGUCUUGACUGCCAGCAUAGAUUUUGAGAUGACUAUGAUGUAGUAUGAUAGGAUGGUAUUCUCCUUUGAAUGUUUCAAGUGGCUUGACUUGGUGCAUGUUCAUGCAUGUAGUUGAAACAAAUCAACAUAGCCUCUAUGAUGUUCGUGUUCAUGGUGAUUUAUAUCAUGUUCAUGCUUGCAUUCAAUGUUAGUCAAAAUCAUUGCAUCUUGAUGACUGUUGUCGCUCUCUAGUUGGUCGCUUCCCAGUCUUUUGCUAGCCUUCACUUGUACUAAGCGGGAAUGCUGCUUGUGCAUCCACUUCCAUAAACCCAAAAGUUUUUCCAUGAGAUUCCACCAUACCUACCUAUUUGCGGUAUCUACCUGUCGUUCCAAGUAAAUUUGCAUGUGCCAUUCUAUAAACCUUCAAGAAUAAAUCUGUUUUGCAUGCCCGAACCGCUCAUGUGGUGACAGAGGGCUAUUGGUAUCUUCCAUGCUAGGAGUGUUAUCCUCGACAUGUGUUUAUUCACAGUCCUUCACGAGAAAGGGGUCGGUAUUUGGGAUGCCUAGUUCCAUGCUUAAAUCGAAAACAUAACUGUAAAACAAGACUCCCCCCGGAUUGAUGUUAGUAUGGACGGUACCCGAGGAUUCGUCUAGCCGUGGAGUGUGAUUGAUUGGUGGUGGGGGAGUUAAAACUUUAGUUUUCUGUUUGGGAACCGCCUAUAGCAUGAGUAGCAUGGAAGAUAUUGAGAACUCUUGGUCAUUGCGUUGACAAUGAAAGCAUGCCACCCAAAAUUAUUAUCUCUGUUUUCAAAGCUUGAGCUCUGGCACCUCUGCAAAUCAAUGCUUCUCUCUGCGAAGGGCUUGUCUAUUUAUUUUCCUAUUGAGUCAUCCUCCUCUUAUAUAAGCACCAAAUAGAGAGCACCUCUGUCAUUUUUAUGCUUUGUUUUUGACUGAUAUUGAGUAUGACUAUGACUGGAUCUUUGUUGCUAUGAAUUACAAUGUUUAGUCAGCCCUUGAUCUUUGAAAGUGCUCUGCAUUUAUGUUUUGCGGUCUCAGAAAGAGCUAGCGAGAUACCACCUAUUCAUAUUGCUUCAUGCUUGUUUUGAUUGAAGUGUUGGUAUUUGAAACUCAUUAUUAUUUGCUCGUUAGCUGAUUAUGCCAUUGAUAUUAGUUUACCGUGAGACCUUUGUGUCAUUUGCUUAUGUGGUCAACUUGUGAUCUUGCUGAAAUUCUGGUUAUGAGUUAGACAUAGUUGCAACAACAAGAUCAAACAGAGUUUGUCAAAGUUUUUCUUUCUCUCUCAGUUUGUCAACUGAGUUGCUUGAGGACAAGCAAGGUUUUAAGCUUGGGGGAGUUGAUACGUCUCCAACGUAUCUACUUUUCCAAACUCUUUUGCCCUUGUUUUCGACUAUAAUUUGCAUGAUUUGAAUGGAACUAACCUAGACUGACGCUGUUUUCAGCAAAAUUGCCUUGGUGUUAUUUUUGUGCAGAAAUCAAAGUUCUCCAAACAUCCUGAAAAUUUACGGGGAGCAGUUUUGGAAAAUAUCAAAAAUAUCUGCGCCAAGUUCCACCUCAGGGGGUGGGCCAGUGGGCCACAAGCCCCUGCUCCGCCACCACCCCCUGGUGGUGAUGGGCAGGCUUGUGGGGCCCACAGGCACCUGCCUCCCCCAACUCCAGCUCUAUAAGUUGUCUUUCGUCCCAGAAAAAAUAAAAAGAGAAUUUUUCGUCGCGUUUUCAAUACGGAGGCGUCGCCACCUCCUGUUCUUCAUCUCGAGGGAAGAUCUGGAGUCCGUCUUGGGCUCCGGAGAGGGGAAAUCGUCGCCAUCGUCAUCAUCAACCUUCUUCCCUCUCCAAUUCCAUGAAGCUCUUCGUCGUUCGUGAGUAAUCUAUUCGUAGGCUCGCUGGGCGGUGAUGAGUAGGAUGAGAUCUAUCAUGUAAUCGAGUUAGUUUUGAUGGGGAUUGAUCCCUAGUAUCCACUAUGUUUUGAGAUUUGAUGUUGCUACUACUUUGCCAUGCUUAAUGCUUGUCACUAGGGCCCGAGUGCCAUGAUUUCAGAUCUGAAAUUAUUAUGUUGUCACCAAUAUAUGUUUGUUUUAGAUCCGAUCUUGCAAGUUGUAGUUACCUACUAUGUGUUAUGAUCCGGCAACCCCGGAGUGACAAUAACCGGAACCACUCCCGGUGAUGACCAUAGUUUGAGGAGUUCAUGUGUUCACCAAGUGCUAAUGCGUUGGUCCGGUUCUUUAUUAAAAGGAGAACCUUAAUAUCCCGUAGUUUCCUUUUGGACCCCGCUGCCACGGGAAGGAUGGACAAUAGAUGUCAUGCAAGUUCUUUUCCCUAAGCACGUAUGACGACACACGGAAUGCAUGCCUACAUCACAUUGACGAACGGGAGCUAGCCACAUAUCCCUCCGUGUUAUAGCUGUUGCAUGAUGAAUAUCAUCCAAACAAAUCACCGACCCAUUGCCUACGUGUUUGUCCUACUGUUGCUACUGCUGUUACUUGUCUUGGUCUGCUGCUGCUGCUACUACUGUUGCUACUGCUGUUACUUGUUUUGCUCUGCUGCUACUGUCGCUUGCUACUGCUGUCACUACUGCUGUUCCUUGCCACUGCUAUUGCUCAUUACACUGUCGUUACUCGCUACUUUGCUGUUACUACUGUGCUUGCACAUACUAAUCUUUCAGGUGUGGUUGAAUCUGACAAAUUCAGCUGCUAAUACUUGAGAGUAUACUCUCACCUCCUGACGGGCUUAUCAACAAAUUGGGUCGAAUACUCUACCCUCGAAAACUGUUGCGAACCCACGCGCUGGUGGGCCAUCAACAACAUUCUUCCAGUUUCAUUGCCGGGGAGUGCUAGCAGCAUUCUUCUGGUGUCGUUGCACGAGAAGGUUCGUUGUCAUAAGCAUUCAUCUAGCUAACGUCAGAGAUUGCAGGAUCAGCCCUUUUUUGGAGCCAUUGCCAGGGAAGCACAACUGACAUCACCCUUCUUUAAAGGAAACUAAAAUCUAAUAUUCCCUUCCUUCAUAUCGAUGAUAGCACCGAUAGUCCUUAGGAAAGGUCUACCAUGGAUGAUAGGGCAUGCAGGAUUGCAUUCCAUGUCAAGCACAAUGAAAUCCAUGGGUACAUAGUUCCUAUUUGCAAUAAUAAGAACAUCAUUGAUCCUUCCCAUGGGUUUCUUGAGAGUAGAAUCCGCAAGAUGCAAAUUAAGAGAACACUCCUCAAUCUCAUUAAAACCCAGAAUAUCACAUAAAGACUUUCGAAUCGCGGAAACACUAGCACCCAAAUCACACAAAGCAUUGCAUUCAUAGUUUUUGAUUUUGAUUUUGAUAGUAGGUUCCCCCUCAUCAUGAAGCUUUCUAGGGAUAGAAACUUCCAAUUCAAGUUUCUCUUCAAGAGAUUUUAUCAUAGCAUCGACGAUAUGAUCAGUAAAGGACUUGUUUGGGCUAUAACGUGUGGAGAGUUUAGCAUGGAUUGCAUCAAGGAAAUGCAUUCAAUCAAGGAGCAACUAUCAUAAUUGAAUUCCUUGAAAUCCAAAGUAGUAGUUUCAUUACCAAUCAAGGUUUUAAUAUCUUCUACUCCACUUUCAAUGCUUUUAGCAUCAAGAUAGAUGGACUCCUAAUCAUUGGGGCGUUUUUCAACCAAAGUGGAUUCAUAUCCAGCCCCAUCAUCAUUAGGUUCGACACAAGAAAACAAAGAUUCAAUGGGAGUCACACCAAGCACUUUAAGAUCUUCGUGAUUCUUAUCACGAGAACAUGCCCUUUUAAGCCAUUCAUGUCUAGCACGAAUUUGGGCGGUUCUUUCUUUGCUCUCACUCAUGGAAACACGCAUAGCUUUCAAAGUUUCAUCCAUAUUGAUCUUGGUUGGAGCACAUCUAACUUUCAAAGCAUCAAUAUCACUAGACAUUCUAUCAACACUCCUAUCCAAAUCGUCAAUUUUGAGUAGUUUUUCCUCUAUGGACGCAUUGAAAAUCUUUUGCGAGUUGAUAAACUCUUUGAUAUUACUCUCUAGAUCACAGGGUAAUCUAUUUUAAUUUCCAAGAGGAUUGUUGUAGGAGUUUCCAAAAUUAUUAGAGGGGUUACUAGGAAAAGGCCUAGGAACAUAGUUUCCUCUAAAAGCAUUGUUGUUGCCAAAAUUAUUCCUACCAACAAAAUUAACAUCCAAGCUAGUGUUGCUACUCUCAAUCAAGGAAGACAAGGGCAUGUCAUUAGGAUCUAAAGGAGCACUUCUACUAGCAACCAAAUUCAUUAAGUCAUCCAUCUUAGCACUCAACGAGUUAAUUUCUUCUACAACGUGUACCUUCUUACUAGUAGGUGACCUUUUAGUGUGCCACUGAGAGUAGUUCAUCAUGAUAUUGUCUAGGAGUUAUGUGGCUUCUCCUAACGUGAUUUCCAUGAACGUUCCACGUGAGGCAGAAAUUCAAGCCAGCGUAGAAGAUUUUUAUAAUCAUCCAAAUACUCAAGCCAUGAGCGGGACAAUUUCUAAUCAUCAAUUUCAUUCUCUCCCAAGAUUGUGCAACAUGUUCAUGAUCAAGUUGCUUAAAAUUCAUGAUAUCAUUAUGGAGAGAGAUAAUCUUAGUCGGCGGAAAAUACUUGGAUAUAUAAGCAUCUUUGCACUUGUUCCAAGAAUCAAUACUAUUUUUCGGCAAAGACGAAAACCAAGUUUUUGCUCGAUCUCGCAACGAGAACGGAAAAAGCUUCAACUUAAUCACAUCAUUAUCCACAUCUUUCUUCUUUUGCAUAUCACAAAGCUCAAUGAAGGUAUUAAGAUGGGAUGCGACAUCUUCACUAGGAAGGCCGGAGAAUUGCUCUUUCAUAACAAGAUUUAGCAAAGCAGCAUUGAUUUCGUAUGACUCCACACUAGUGGCGGGAGCAAUCAAAGUACUAAUAAAAUCAUUAUUAUUAGUAUUCGAGAAGUCACAAAGUUUGGUGUUUUCAGUCAUGGUGACUUCAGCAAGCAAACAAGCACACAAGCGAACAGUAAGCAAGCGAGUGAAAAGGGCGAACGAAAAAGGCAAACGAAAAAAGGCAAAUAUUUUUGUAAUUUUUUUUUCAGAAGUGAGGGAGAGGAAAUCGAGAGGCUCCCAACACUAUAAUAAUGAUUUCAGAAGUAAAUGCAAGAGAUGAGUUUGCGACAGUUACUUGGAUGAGUUCUUGACUUGAUCCUCCCCGUCAACGGCGCGAGAAAUCCUUCUGCUGCCUCUUGAGCUUGCGUUGGUUUUUCCCUUUAUGAGGAAAGGGUGAUGCAGCACACGAGCAGUAAGUAUUUCCCUCAGUUCGAGAACCAAGGUAUCAAUCCAGUAGGAGAAUCGAGGUCAAGUCCAGAGUACCUGCGCAAACACAAAAGAGCUUGCACCCAACGCUUUGAAGGGGUUGUCAAUCCCUUCAAGAUUGAUUGCAAAGUGAGAUCUGAAGGCGGAAAGUGCAACGAAGUAAAAGUAUAAGGCUGAAAAUAUGGUGUGAAGUAGACCCGGGGGCCAUAGUGUUCACUAGAGCCUUCUCUCAAAAUAGCAAAUAAUACGGUGGGUGAACAAAUUACUGUCGAGCAAUUGAUAGAACCGCACAAAGUCAUGACGAUAUCUAAGGCAAUGAUCAUACAUAUAGGCAUCACGUCUGAGACAAGUAGACUAAUACUUUCUGCAUCUACUACUAUUACUCCACACAUCGACCACUAUCCAGCAUGCAUCUAUUGUACUGAGUUCAUGACAUACAGAGAAACGCCUUAAGCAAGAUGACAUGAUGUAGAGGGAUAAACUCAAACCAAUGAUGAAAACCCCAUAUUUUUACCCUUGAUGGCAACAACACAAUGCGUGCCUCGCUGCCCCUUCUAUCACUAGGAGAGGUCAGCGCACGGUAUGAACCCAAAACCAAGCACUUCUCCCAUUGCAAGAAUCAUAGAUCAAGUUGGCCAAACAAAACCCACAACUUGAAGAGAAUUACAAGGAUACGAAAUCAUGCAUAUAAGAGAUCAGAAGAAACUCAAAUAAGAUACAUAGAUAAUCUGAUCAUAAAUCCACAAUUCAUCGGAUCUCGACAAACACAACGCAAAGAAGAAUACAUCGGAUAGAUCUCCAUGAAGAUCAUGGAGAACUUUGUAUUGAAGAUCCAAGAGAGAAAAGAAGCCAUCUAGCUACUAGCUAUGGACCCGAAGGUCUAUGGUGAACUACUCACGCAUCAUCGGAGAGGUCAUGGUGUUGAUGAAGAAGCCCUCCGUAUCCGAAUCCCCCCUCUGGCAGGGCACCAGAACAUGCCCCAAAUGGGAUCUUGCGGAGACAGAAUCUUGCGGCGGCGAAAAAGUAUUUUCGUGAUCUCUCUCGCAGUUUUGGAUUUUUUCUGAAUUUAUAGGGGGAAGAGGUAGGGCAGACGAGCCACAGGGGGCCACAAGCCUGCAAGGCGCGGGCCCCCUGUCCGCGCCUAGGGGGCUUGUGGGGUCCCCUGGUGGCCCCUUCCUUGGUUCUCAAGUCUCGUGCAUAUGUUUUGUUCCGGAAAAAAUCUUUUCGGAAGUCUUAUUCUGUUUGGACACUGUUUAAAUUCCUCCUCUGUAAAGGGUCAAAAACACGGAAAAAAUAGGAACUGGCACUUAGCACUGAGUUAAUAAGUUAGUCCCAAAAAAGAUAUAGAAGGCAUACAAAACAUCCAAAGUUUGACACGAUAAUAACAUGGAACCAUAAAAAAUUAUAGAUACGUUGGAGACGUAUCAGACACGUACCCACACGUGGCAACUUCGGGGUGUUGUGCUGGUGUGUGGGCGGACGCGUGGUCCAUGCAUCAGCGAUGGCUUGCUCGUCGGUGGAGGCGUUCUUAGGACGGGAAGGCUCCCUGGGCCCACACCUCUCUUCGGGCCUUCUUUUCCUCCCCNNNNNNNNNNNNNNNNNNNNNNNNNNNNNNNNNNNNNNNNNNNNNNNNNNNNNNNNNNNNNNNNNNNNNNNNNNNNNNNNNNNNNNNNNNNNNNNNNNNNNNNNNNNNNNNNNNNNNNNNNNNNNNNNNNNNNNNNNNNNNNNNNNNNNNNNNNNNNNNNNNNNNNNNNNNNNNNNNNNNNNNNNNNNNNNNNNNNNNNNNNNNNNNNNNNNNNNNNNNNNNNNNNNNNNNNNNNNNNNNNNNNNNNNNNNNNNNNNNNNNNNNNNNNNNNGGCCUUCUUUUCCUCCCCGGCAGGGUUACCUUGCCGGGGGCUCUUCUCGUUCCUCUCGGCAGGGAGGUGAUGGCCUACCAAGGCCUUGUCAAUCUUCCCAGCAACGAUGGUUUGUUGGGGCUCAGUCCUUCUUCCUUGGCGGGAGGGUCUCGCCAUGUUAGUGCCUAUCUUCUCGGCGGGGAGCUCCUGCUGGGGUCUCUUCUUCAGUCCCAACAAGCGGGCGCUUGCCGGGGGGGGGGGGGGCNNNNNNNNNNNNNNNNNNNNNNNNNNNNNNNNNNNNNNNNNNNNNNNNNNNNNNNNNNNNNNNNNNNNNNNNNNNNNNNNNNNNNNNNNNNNNNNNNNNNGGGAGAGGAUCCGCCACUACUAUAUCCUCAAGUUGUUUCCUUUCUCGCUAAAGGAUGAUGCUAAGACUUGGUUCACUUCUCUUGCUCCUGGUUGUGUGCGUAGCCCCCAGGAUAUGGUCUACUACUUCUUUGAAAAAUAUUUCCCUGCCCAUAAGAAGCAAGCUGCCUUGCAAGAAAUAUACAACUUUGCGCAAGUUGAAUAAGAGAGUCUCCCACAAGCUUGGGGGAGGCUUGUCCAGCUACUGAAUGCUUUGCCUGAUCACCCUAUUGAAAAGAAUGAAAUACUUGAUAUCUUCUAUAAUGGAUUUAUCGAUGCUUCUAGAGACCACCUAGAUAGUUGUGUUGGUUGUGUUUUUAGGGAACGAACUGUAGAACAAGCUGAGAUCCUAUUGAAUAAUAUCUUGUGCAAUGAGAAUGCUUGGACUAUUCCCGAACCACCUCCUAAGCCAACUCCAAACAAAAUAGGUAUUCUAUUCCUCAGUCCUGAAGAUAUGCAAGAAGCUAAGAAAUCUAUGAAAGAGAAAGGCAUUAAAUCUGAAGAUGUCAAAAAUCUACCACCUAUCAAAGAGAUCCAUGGUCUUGAUAACCCGAUACAGGUAGUAGAAGUAAAUUCUCUGUGUAGGUUUGAUGAGAGUGAUAUUCCUUUUGAUAAACCUGCUAGCCUAUGCCUGGAUGAAUUUGAUAACUUUGUUGCCAAACAACAGAGCUUCAAUGAUUACGUUAGCAAACAAUUGGAACAGAAUGCUCGUAUGCUUAGUCAUUUAAGUGCUUGUGUAGACAGAAACGUCAAUGAUCUUAAGCUCCUGAGUAAGCAUGCCUCUAUGGUUACCAAGGUUGUCAAAAUCGUGAUUCUGAAUCGGAUCGGAGCUCCGUUGGUAGGAUCGUGAAUCGUAGAAUCAUAACUAUCAAGAUAGUAGAAACUUAGAUUCUAUGAGCAAAGUCGUGGAAUCAGAGGGGCUAGUUUGGAUCGUAAAGUCGUAAGAUUCUAAGACUUGAGUCGCGAUUCUGAUAACUUUGAUGGUUACUACUCAGGUAGAACAAGUACUUAAAGCUCAGAAUGACUUGCUCAAUGAGUUGAAUGACAAUUCUGUUAGAGUCAUCACGAGAGGCGGUAGAAUGACCCAGGAACCUUUGUAUCCUCAGGGUCAUCCUAAGAGAAUUGAACAAGAUUCUCAAGGAGUUAGCACUGAUGCACCUAGUCAUCCUAGAAAGAAGAAGAAAGAUGAUAGGGAUUUGCACGUUAGCAACCCUGUUGCUGAUUCACCUGAGAGUCCAAAGGAUGUCUCUGCUUCUGAUGCUGAGACACAAUCUGGUGAUGAACAUGAGCCUAAUGAUAAUAUCAAUACUGAUGUUCAUGAAGAUGCUCAACCUAGCAAUGAUAAGGAUGUGGAGAUUGAACUUGUUGAUCUUGAUAACCCACAGCCUAAGAAUAAGAGAUACGAUAAGAAUGACUUCACUGCUAGGAAGCAUGCUAAAGAAAGGGAACCAUGGGUUCAGAAACCCAUGCCCUUUCCUCCCAAACCAUCCAAGAAAAAGGAUGGUGAGGAUUUUGAGCGUUUUGUUGAAAUAAUUAGACCUGUCUUUCUGCAAAUGCGUUUGACAGGUAUGCUCAAAAUGUCUCUGUAUGCUAAGUACAUGAAGGAUGUUGUGACUAAUAAGAGGAGGAUACCUGAGGUUGAGAUUCCCACCAUGCUCGCUAACUAUACCUUCAAGGGUGGAACUCCUAAGGAACUAGGUGAUCCCAGAGUGCCCACUAUACCUUGCUCUAUUAAAGGUAACUACAUUAGAACUGCUUUAUGCGACCUUGGAGCCGGUGUUAGUGUUAUGCCUCUCUCUCUUUAUCAUAGACUUGAGCUGGAUAAGUUGACACCCACUGAAAUCUCUCUGCAAAUGGCCGACAAAUCAAUUGCUUUCCCUAUCGGCAUUUGCGAGGAUGUGCCUGUUGUGGUUGCCAACGUUACUAUCUUAACAGACUUUGUUAUCUUGGAUAUUCCCGAGGACGAUGCCAUGGCGGUCAUCCCCGGAAGACCCUUUUUAAACACUGCAGGGGCUGUUAUAGAUUGCAACAAAGGCAAUGUCACUUUCCAUGUCAAUGGUAAUGAGCAUACGGUGCACUUUCCGAAGAAACAAUAUCGAGUACAUUGCAUCAAUGCUAUCGAAAAAACUUCAUCGAUUCUUAUUGGGAGCUUUGAAUGCCCUAUACCUACUAUUAAGAUGAAGUAUGAUUUGAUUGUCGGGGAUAUGCACAUCCCCAUUGAGGUGACCUAGUGACUAUUCGAAAAUUCUCUGUUCUCUUUUGCGAUUUGAAAAAGUUUGACAAGGAGACUUCAUCAACCUCAUUGACGGAUUUCUUUCGAUGACCAUGAGACGGAUGAAUCGAGGAGUCACAAACCUAUGUUCCAAGUUUUCACAUUCGGUUGCUUAGAAAAAAAAUGAUAGAACUAGUUUAGUUUUCCCUGUUUUCUGCUGUUAGCGUCCCGUAGAUAAGUACCCCCAAAAUAAAAGUUCUCCGGAUGCCGUGAAAAUCAAAUAUGAUUUUUUCUGGAAUUUUUGAAAAAUAUUGAGACGAAGAGCUAGUCUGGGGGUUGCACCAGUGGGCCACAAGUCCUGGAGGCGCGGGCACCCCCCUGGCCGCGCCUACUAGGCUUGUGGGGCCCACGUGCACCCCCUCCACUCAUUCUAACUCCCAUCUGCUUCUCCUACCUCCAGAAAAAAUCGUUUCGCAGCUCAAACCCGUGUUCUUGCUCUUCUUGUUGGGAUUUUCGAUCUCCUUGUGCAAAGCACCAUUUACCAAGCUGUUUUGGGGAAAUUACUCCUUGGUAAGUGACUCCUCCAUUGGUCCAAUUAGUUUUUGCUCUAGUGCCUUAUACUUCGCGUAUUUCUGCUGCCUUGGUGACCAUGUUCUUGAGCUUUCCAUGCUAAUUUUAGCUGGUCCCAAGUAGUUUUGAUGCAUAAUAUGGCCUCUAGGCACUUGUGGGAGUAGUUGCUACGAGUUUCGCUAGGCCUUGUUCAUUUUUCCUUAGAGUCACUGAAAAUUUCAGAAAAGGAAGAUGUUCAGGAGAAACUAUCAUGGUGGUUCCUCAAGCAAGAGAGGUCCCCGUCUCGCGAUUCGGGAGCCCGGUCCUUACCAACCAAGGAACGCACAGGUACAACCAUGUGAAUGGCCUUCUGAUGAAUUCAUGAUUGAGGCAGGUUUCAAAGACGAGUUUGAUACACUUGUUCAUAGCGUCGGACUCGAAGAAUUCAUCUCCGAUAAAUGUGAAAAGUAUGUUGCUCUCACUGCCUCUUUUUUUCGUAGAUUCAAAUUUUUAGUUGGCCGUGAUACAUCUAUACUGUUUGAUCUCUAUGAAAAAUCGUAUACCAUGGAUUUAGAGGAUUUCAAUAGAAUUUGCAAGAUACCUAUUUGGGGUAGUCUCAAUGAUCCUCCUAAAUCUUUGGUUAGAGAUUUUUUUCUCUGGUAUAACUGUUGGAGAAACUAGAGAUAUUACGCAGGCUACCAUGGGGAGCAUUCAUUUUCCUGCCUUGCAUUACUUUGCCCUCUUCAUAGGCAGAUGCAUUAAUGGCAAGAUUGAGCAUUGUCACCUUUGUGCACCCAACCUUAGUAUCCUAAAGAGCGCAGUAACGGGUGAUAGAAGUUUUAACAUGGGAGCUAUAAUAGCAAGGAGGCUGAAUAAUAAUGCUAAUGAAGGGGAUUUCUUUGGUGGGAUCUAUGCCACUUGCAUAGCAAAUUUUCUUGGAGUACCCAUCCGCGAAGGAGAUCCCCCGCUCCAUACAGCUUUCCUUGAUCGCACCGCUUUGACACGCUGUCAGUUCCUUGAGAGGGAUGAUGAAUCCCUCCUAUAUCGUUUAAUAUUUAACCGGCAGCGUGUUUUCCAUAUUACCCUUCCUGCUCCUACCUUCUUUGACUUUCAGGUAAAACAGAGAUAUUACAUAACCAGAGGAGAGACCGAGGAGUAUGAGAGGGAGGCAAAGGCUGCUCGUCUCCGUGAGGCAGCUAUUCAGGCAGUGGCUGCAGCGCUCCCGUAUAACCCCCAUUAUGAUUUUGGGUAUCGCCCGGACCAUCCUUGGGAGUAGACCAACUUAGGCCAAAAGCCUAAGCUUGGGGGAGUACGUGUUUCUCACCGACUUUAUAUUCUUGCUUAUGCUUUCACUUUGUUUAUUCGGUGUUCACACUUUGCCACUGUAUCAUCCAUGCUAAUUUAUUUCUUUUUCUCGUUUUCUUUUCGUGUGUCUGUCUAGUUCGAAAAAGCCCAAAAAGAUUUUCUUGUUCUUCUUUUGCUUGUUGGGAGCUUUCCCGUGUAAAUAGUUUUCUUUUUCUUUGGGUCAAGGUGGAAGACCAUGGUUACAAUGUUUAGUGGCUCUCGCUUGCAUAUCUGUUUAUGUGUCAAAGAUCCAUAUUACCUUGUCUUCUCCUUUGUGUUUGCCUACAGAUUCCAGCGUAGUCCAAUGCACGAGCACUCUUAUUAUUGUUCACAUCAUUCGGUCGUGCAAGUGAAAGGCAAUAAUGAGGAUAUAUGAUGAAGUGACUGAGCCUGGAAAAGUUGGUAUGAACUCGAUCUAUUUUGUUUUUGUAAAUAUGACUAGCUCAUCGUUCCUGAUUCAGCUUUGUUGUGAGAGAAACAUGUUUGCAAUGACAACUUAGAGAUCAUAGUUUCUGAUGCCAUGCUUAAUUAGCUAGGAGCUUAUAAUGGUUUGUCUUGGAUGCCAACAUGAAUCUUGAGAUGAAUAUGAUGUAGUAUGAUAGGAUGGUAUCCUCCUUUGAAUGAUUCAAGUGGCUUGACUUGGCGCAUGUUUAUGCAUGUAGUUGAAACAAAAUCAACAUAGCCUCUAUGAUAUUCAUGUUCACGGUGAUUUAUGUCCUACUCAUGCUUGCACUCAAUGCAUUUUGAUGACUGUUGUCGCUCUCUAGUUGGUCGUUUCCCAGUCUUUUCCUAGCCUUCACUUGUACUAAGUGGGAAUACUGCUUGUGCAUCCACUUCCAUACACCCAAAGUUGUUCCAUAUGAGUCCACCAUACCUACCUAUAUGCGGUAUCUACCUGUCGUUCAAAGUAAAUUUGUCUGUGCCACUGUCUAAACCUUCAAGAAAUAAUCUGUUUUGCAUGCCUGAACCGCUCAUGUGGUGACAGGGGGCUAUCAGUAUCUUCCAUGCUAGGCGUGUUAUCCUCGAUAUGUGUUUAUUCACUAUCAUUCACGAGAAAGGGGUCGGUAAUUGGAAUGCCCAGUUCCAUGCUCAAAUUGAAAAGAUAAUUGCAAACAAAACUCCCCAUGGAUUGAUGUUGGUAUGGACGGCACCCGAGUAUUCGGCUAGUCGUGGAGUGUGAUUGAUUGGUGGUGGGGGAGUCAAAACUUUAAUUUUCUGUUUGGGAACCGCCUAUAGUAUGUGUAGCGUGGAAGAUGGUGAGAACUCUUAGUCAUUGCGUUGACAAUGAAAGCAUGCCACCCAAAAUUAUUAUCUCUGUUUUCAAAGCUUGAGCUCUGGCACCUCUGCAUCAAUGCUUCCCUCUGCGAAGGGCCUGUCUAUUUAUGUUCAUGUUGAGUCAUCCUCCUCUUAUAAAAGCACCAAUUAGAGAUUACCUCUGUCAUUUUUAUGCUUUCCUUUUAACUGUGUUGAGUAUGACUGUGACUGGAUCUUCUUUGCCAUGAAUUACAAUGUUUAGUCAGCCCUUGGUCUUUGAAGGUGCUCUGCAUUUAUAUUUUGCGGUCUUAGAAAGAGCUAGCGAGAUACCAUCUGUUCGUACUGCUUCAUGAUUGUUUUGAUUGAAGUGUUGACGUUUGAGACUUAUUAUUAUUUGCUCGCUAGUUAAUUAUGCCAUUGAUAUGAGUUUACCGUGAGACCUAGAUGUCAUUUGCUUAUGUGGUUUGCUUGUGAUCUUGCUGAAAUUCUGGAUAUGAGUUAGACAUAGUUGCAACAACAAGAUCAAACAGAGUUCGUAAAAGUUUUCCUUUUGUCUCUUUCAGUUUGUAAACUGAAUUGCUUGAGGACAAGCAAGGCUUUAAGCUUGGGGGAGUUGAUACGUCUCCAUCGUAUCUACUUUUCCAAACUCUUUUUCCCUUGUUUUGGACUCUAAUUUGCAUGAUUUGAAUGGAACUAACCCGGACUAAUGUUAUUUUCAGCAGAAUUGCCAUGGUGUUGUUUUUGCACAGAAAUAAUAGUUCUCGGAAUGACCUGGAAAUUUACGGAGAAUUUUUGUGGAAUAUAUAAAAAAUACUGGCGCAAGAAUCUGCGGAGCAAGUGGAGCGUGGAGCCCACAAGCCCACCAGCCGCGGGCACCCCCCCCGGCUGCGCCUGGCAGGCUUGUGGGGCCCACAAAGCUCCACCGCCUCCAAAUCUAGAUCUAUUUAAUAUGUUUCGUCCGGAAAAAAUCAAGGAGAAGAGUUCAUCGUGUUUUACGAUAUGGAGGCGCCGCCACUUCCUCUUCUUCCUCUGGAGGGCAGAUCUGGAGUCCGUUCUGGGCUCCGGAGAGGGGAGAUCGUCGCCAUCGUCAUCACAGACCUUCCUUCAUCGCCAAUUCCAUGAUGCUCUUCACGUGUGACAGCCCGAGACCGGCGUUCCAGAAGAUUCCCCUUUCUUUCCGUUUUCGUCGUGUGCCUAUUUUAUUUUGUCGCGUCAUCAUCGCAUCAUGCGCAUCAUCCACAUUGCAUCGGCAUCUCCGUUGCCGACAGUUUUCAAAACUUGCAUCCGUUGUUAGUUGUCGGUUCACGUCGUUGUCCGUUCUAAGCCCGACCGCACACGCACGCGCCCGCGGCAUCGUCCAAACCCUGUUUUAAAAAGUGUUCGUAAAACUUUUGCUGAUCGGGUUGAGAUUUGACGUGCGGUCUUAUUUUAAUAUAGCUAGGCCGCCUGUCAAGUUUCGUCGCGAUCGGAGUUCGUCUGGUACCCGAACGGUCGCCCAUAGCGGCACCACAAUCGGUCUACCGUCGGACGUCUGCCGGUGUUUUAAAAUUCGUUGUCGCGCCGCCCGUUCUCCCUCUCGUCUCCGGAUAUCCCCUCUACACGGCCGCGUACCCAUACCUGCGUUCGGAAUCGUCCGAAUCCGACCCCGCGGUUGGAUCCGGAGCGCGAUUCCGGUUAACCGAGCCCCCCGUUUGUCUAUAUAUAGACCCCUUCUAAUUUUUCGACAGCCUCCCUCUAAUCCCUCCUUGAUUUCCGCGCCACCUACCCGAAACCCUAGCCUCCCACCUGCUCUCUCUCUCUCCUCCCCCGCGCCGCCGGCCCACCAGGCCCAGAUCGGGCCCGGCCGAGCCCAUCGCGCCGCCGCCGCCGUGGCUCGAGCCCCUGUGCUCCCGAGGCUCCCGAGCUCCUGGCCAUGGCCGCGCCUGCCCGGAAGAAGCCCCCGUCNNNNNNNNNNNNNNNNNNNNNNNNNNNNNNNNNNNNNNNNNNNNNNNNNNNNNNNNNNNNNNNNNNNNNNNNNNNNNNNNNNNNNNNNNNNNNNNNNNNNNNNNNNNNNNNNNNNNNNNNNNNNNNNNNNNNNNNNNNNNNNNNNNNNNNNNNNNNNNNNNNNNNNNNNNNNNNNNNNNNNNNNNNNNNNNNNNNNNNNNNNNNNNNNNNNNNNNNNNNNNNNNNNNNNNNNNNNNNNNNNNNNNNNNNNNNNNNNNNNNNNNNNNNNNNNNNNNNNNNNNNNNNNNNNNNNNNNNNNNNNNNNNNNNNNNNNNNNNNNNNNNNNNNNNNNNNNNNNNNNNNNNNNNNNNNNNNNNNNNNNNNNNNNNNNNNNNNNNNNNNNNNNNNNNNNNNNNNNNNNNNNNNNNNNNNNNNNNNNNNNNNNNNNNNNNNNNNNNNNNNNNNNNNNNNNNNNNNNNNNNNNNNNNNNNNNNNNNNNNNNNNNNNNNNNNNNNNNNNNNNNNNNNNNNNNNNNNNNNNNNNNNNNNNNNNAUAAAAACGUACCAGUAGCUCAAUAACCGUUGAAAGCAUCCAAAAUGGAACUACUGGUACGUUUUUAUUGGCUUAAAUAUGUCACACACACUAGAGAGUAACUUUUGUUCCCACAAUUCAUCAAGGGCAAAAGAGUCAUUUUACAACCACAUUUAACACCGUUAGUGUUCAGAUUGCACUACAGGGCCAUAUUAGGAAGGAAAUGAAGUUUAGAUGUCAAAUAGGGAAAAAAAUAAUAUUUAGGGCCAAAUAGGGAAGAAGAAUUUAAGAAAGGGCCAAAUAAGGAAUUCUCUCCAUAUUUUAUAUGUUUCCGGGGUAGAAAAAUCCCAUGGAUUUUUCUGUGCAAUUAGUUUUAGCAUUAGAGCAAGUUAGUUCGCGAGAUAUUUUGCUAAGUUGCCCUUUUGUUAAUUCGUAGGAUUUAUUCCGUGCCUCGUUUGAAUUAGUUCACAACUAGAGAGUUGAUCUUGGAUGUUUUGUUUAGCCCCUGGUAUUUUUGGUUGCAAUAGAAAUGCAUGUUUAGGUGUGUUUUGAUUGCCCUCAAGCUGCUAGAAAUAGUGUUGUUUUAGACGUGCUGAAAUAUUUCUAUGUCUGGAAUCUGUUAUAUUUUUGUUGUUGUCUUGUCUUGCUUGCAUCUUGUGAUCGGUAGCUCUUUUGAGGUUGGUCCAAUGGAGUAAGUUGCAGCCCUUGUGUUUCUCUAGCAUGCUAUGAAGUUUCAUUCCAUUUGGAGUCCUGUAGCUAUAGGUUUUUCUGCUGUCAAUAUAGCUUCAGAUCGAAAACUGCACUUUCGUGAAGUGCUAUUUUCACUAAGUCUGAAAUAGUGUGUGAGAUGCCAUUUGGUGUCUUCUUUUCCUAGUGCUCCUUGCUGCCAUGCUAGUUGUUGUUAGUUGUUUGUAGUAGAGCGUCUUGCCCUCUUUCGUGCCAUGCCUUACUUGCGUUUAUCGGAGUUGUGUAGCUCGUAGUUGUGGGGCGUAGAAAGUGCUAUGUGGCUGAUUUUGGCAGAUUGUAGUGUUUUCUUGUUUUACUCGUAGUUUUCGAACCGUAGCUCCGUUUUGAUCGUGUCCUACAUGGAACUUGCUUAGAAUCUCGUGUAGUUUCAUUUUCUCUUGCUGUCUGUAUGUGUUGAAGUGCUCGUAGCUGCCGUUGCACACAUUUUUCCAUUCAUGCCAUCAUAUCUUGCGAUGCUUGUAACUUUUGAUCCGUAGCUCCGUUGGAGGUGUUCUUUAUGUGUAGAUUGCUUGCCAUGACGCGUAGAAUCAUGUGAACCUAUUUGGUUUGCUGUUUAACAACUAAUUAAAUGUGUUAAUUCAGAUCUGGACAGAAUUGUAAAUUAACAUAUGAGGUCGUCUCGGAGAUGCUAUUUGUCAUUUCCGACCUCAUUUAAAAUGCCUAGAUAAGUAGUUUAAUUGCGCUUCACCUCUUGCCAUGUUUAAUCACAUUUAAUAUUUCCGUGUAUCUAAUUGGGAUAGAACUAAAUAAUUAAACGUGGAGUUUCGUCAAUAUGCAACUCGUUGCAUAUUGAACUUCACUUAAUGUGUAGUGUUUGAUUGAGUGGAUUGUCAUGCCGUGACGUGCAUGUUUUCAACUGCUCAUGCAUCAUAUGUGUUGUGCGUCGUGUGGUGAAUAUCGUGUGUUGAUUUGUGUUUCCGGUCUGCUUCGUCUCGAUAGAGUUCCGCAAGCGUGUCGGAUGUGAGGACCCGUUCGACUACGUCGGUUCGUCUGCUUCACGGAGACAUUCUUCUUCCAAGCGGGAUCUCAGGCAAGAUGAUCACUUCCCCAGAUACCAUUACUAUAAUUGUCAUGCUAGUUUAUCGCUUCUAUCGAUUAUGUCUCGUUGCCUACCACCUGUUAAAUUCAGCCUCUCAACAAUGCCAUGAAACCUUCAACCUGUUCAACCUAGCAAACCACUGAUUGGCUUGUUACUGCUUGCUUAACUCUGUUGUUAGCGUUGCUAGUUGCAGGUGCAGUUGCUUCCAUGUGAAACAUGGGUUCCUUGUUAUAUCACCAUAUUAAUGCUAUUUAACUUAAUGGACCUAUAUACUUGGUAAAAGGUGGAAGGCUCGGCCUUUCUAGCCUGGUGUUUUGUUCCACCUUUGGCCCCUUAGUUUCCGGCUACCGGUGUUAUGUUCCAUAAUUGAGCGCUCCUAACACGAUCGGGGUUGUUAUGGGGACCCCUUGAUAAUUCGUUUUAGAUUAAAGCUGGUCUGGCAAGGCCCAACAUUGGUACUACAUUUGCCUAAACACCUAAUAAAAUUGCAUAGGGACUUUCCGGACCCCGAGGAUAAUUUAAUCAACCCCCGGGCCAGUGCCCCUCAUGAGUGUUGGUCCAAAACAGAGCAGCUUAUUAAUGCUACCCGGGCAACUUGGCGUUUGGCGUGGUAACCAUCGCUCAUCCGUCGUGUCUUGAGAACGAGGUACGCGACUCCUAUCGGGAUCGUCGACACGUCGGGCGGCCUUGCUGGAUUAGUUUUACCUUUGAUGAGAUAUCUUGUGCAUCGGGAUUCCGGUGAUGCUUUGGGUAAUCUCAGAGUUGAGGUUUUCCACUAGGGAAUCCGACGAGAUCUCGAGCUUCGUGAUUGAGGAUUUCUAUGCGGCUUGUGGUAAUUUGUGAUGGACUAGUUGGAGCACCCCUGCAGGGUUAAAUCUUUCGGAAAGCCGUGUCCGCGGUUAUGUGGCAACGUGGAAACUUUGUUUAACGCUGGUUCUAAAUAACUUGAAGUUAACUUAAUUAAAACUUGCCAACUGUGUGCGUAACCAUGACUGUCUCUUUCGUGAGUUCUUUCUCCGAUCGAGGACACGGUGGGGUUAUGUCUGACGUAGGUAGGUGUUCAGGAUCAUUCAUUUGAUCAUCAGUAGUUCACGUCCGUUAUGCGUAGAUCUUCCCCCUCUUAUUUCUUGUACUCGUAAGUUUAGCCACCAAAUAUAUGCUUGGCCGCUGCUGCAACCUCAGCACUUAACCAUGCCUCACCCAUUAAGCUUUGCUAGUCUUGAUACCUUUGGAAAUGAGAUUGUUGAGUCCCCUGUGGCUCACAGAUUACUACAACACCAGUUGCAGGUACAGGUAAAGGUUACUUGACGCGAGCGCGUUGAUUGUUCAUUUGGAGUUGCUUCUUAUUCUUCUUCAUCGAUCUAGGAUGGGUUCCAGGCCGGCAGCCUGGGAUAGCAAGGAUGGACGUCGUUCUUCUUUUGUCGUUUGUUUCCGUCCCUAGUCGGACCCUGCUCUUACUCUUGAGGAUUAUGUAAUGUACUGAUGUGACUCUGAUGUAGCUUGUGGCGAGUGUAAGCCAACUCUUUAUAUAUCUCUUCUUUUCAGUACAUGUACUUGUAACGAUAUCCAUUCUUGCGACACGACGAGAUGCGCUUCUAUCCCUGACGAGGCCCUCGAGCCAAAUCGAGGAUAGGGUCGCAUCUUGGGCGUGACAUCACCGUUCGUGAGUAAUCUCAUCGUAGGCUUGCUUGACAGUGAUGGGUUGGAUGAGAUCUAUCAUGUAACCGAGUUAAUUUUGACGGGGAUUGAUCCCUAGUAUCCACUAUGUUCUGAGAUUGAUGUUGCUACUACUUUGCCAUGCUUAAUGCUUGUCACUAGGGCCCGAGUGCCAUGAUUUCAGAUCUGAACCUAUUAUGUUGUCGCCAAUAUAUGUGUGUUCUUGAUCCUAUCUUGCAAGUUGUAGUCACCUACUAUGUGUUAUGACCCGGCAACCCCGGAGUGACAAUAGCCGGAACCACUCCCGGAGAUGACCAUAGUAUGAGGAGUUCAUGUAUUCACUAAGUGUUAAUGCGUUGGUCCGGUUCUUUAUUAAAAGGAGAACCUUAAUAUCCUGUAGUUUCCAUUAGGACCCCGCUGCCACGGGAGGGAUGGACAAUAGAUGUCAUGCAAGUUCUUUUCCUUAAGCACGUAUGACUACAUACGGAAUACAUGCCUACAUUACAUUGACGAAUUGGAGCUACUUAUAUCUCUCCGUGUUAUAGCUAUUGCAUGAUGAAUAGCAUUCGGCAUAGUCAUCCAUCACCAAUCCAAUGCCUACGAGUUUUUCCUACUGGUCCUUGCUAUGUUACUUUGCCGCUACUGCUGUCACUGCUGCUACUGUUACUCUGUUGCUACUUCUGUUACUUUGCUGCUACUACUGUCACUUUGCUACUACUGGUUACCGUUGCUACUGCUCCUAUCAUACUACCUUGCUACUGAUACUUUGCUGCAGAUACUAAAUCUUUCAGGUGUGGUUGAAUUGACAACUCAACUGCUAAUACUUGAGAAUAUUCUUUGGCUUCCCCUUGAGUCGAAUCAAUAAAUUUGGGUUGAAUACUCUACCCUCGAAAACGGUUGCGAUCCCCUAUACUUGUGGGUUAUCAGAGACUAUUAGGAGGACUGUUGUAGACCAAAAGAGAUCUUGUGGAUAUGCCCCAUACAUUCAGAUACUUAUCAAUGGCAAACUUGGCACGCAUGCAUAUCUGCUUGAUCGUCCCCAUUUUCCCCUUCAGCCUGAAUUUGAAGAUAAUGAAGUUGUGAUGGAUGCCAAUGAUCCCAGCUCACCGCAUCUAGAGAGACAGCAGAGGCAGCAGCAGCACAGGCUACUAGGAAUGUGCCACCACCAGUUCCACAACUCAGAACUCAAGCUGAGCAAAUGACAUUUCUAGUGAGUUCUAUCCAAGGUAUGGAGAAGAACAUCUCGGAGAUUAUGCUAAACCAAAGGAUUUUAGAGAGGAUCGUGGAAAUCAAAUUCCAUGAUUUGGACGUCAAAGUGACAGAGACAUCUGCUAGUGUUGAUCAGCUCAAGCAUCAAGUUGAUGGUGUGAGGACACCCAGUUCAACUACUGAUGAUGAAGAGUCGCCUCCUCACACUACCACUUAGUUUAGUACCAAGCCCCGGUCAGCGGUUGUGCCAGUGUCGGAAGCAAGACCAACUUCAUCAACUCACGCAUUUGUACCUUCAUCUUCAGCCCCAGCUCGAGCACCUCCAGUAUCGACUCCUCCAGCUCCAGGACAUUCUCCCGAAGUCUUUGCCGACGCUCUUCUGUCUACUCCAUCAUCACUACCCCAGUAGAUAGGGCCCACAUAGACGAUUAGCUCAAUACUUUCGAACUUUUUGGUAACUCGUUGCCAAAGGGGAGAAAUGUAUAGAUCUUAGGGCUUCGAGCGAGAGAGAGAUUUUGACAUUAUUUUCUCUGUUUGGUCGUUUGGUUUUUACAAAACUUUGUCUCGUUGGAUGAAUUUAUCUAGUUACCUGUGUUUGAUCAUACGCUUUGGUUGGUUGAUGCUACUACAUUAUUAUCUUUGAGCUAUGCAUACGAUGAUCAUUCACUUAUUCUUUUGGUGCAAUGUGCAUUACUAUUCAUUCAUAUCAUGUAUAAGCACCACCAAGAUGUAUGUGACAUGAAAGAGUGACCCAUGAUAUUAAUCGGUUGUGCAUUUGCAUUCAAAUGCAAAUUAUAAAUAAUGCACAAAUUUAGGGGGAACUCUUGCUUUUCACAUACUUCUCAAAGCAUCAAUGCUAAUCAUUGAUUAUAUCUUUUGUCGAAGCUUUGAUCUAUAUGUUGUCAUCAAUGAGCAAAAAUGGGGAGAUUGAAAGCACAAUUGCUCCCUAAGGUGGUUUUGAUAAUUGAUCACAACAUAUGCAUCAUUGGACUAAUGAUUUUAUCCUAGUAUAUUUCAGAAAAUUUCAAAAGAUGCAUUGGUAAAGGUUUAUGUGGAGAAGCUCCUUGGUGCAAGAAAGGAAUAAGAUUGGCUCAAGCUUCAAGCAAAAAGAGUCUUCGUUUUAUAUUUGUGAGAAAUCACUUUUGAGUCCAUAGGAAAGCCAAUACUAUUAAAAGGGGGUGAGGUAUUAAAAUGAACUGGUUCCUCAAGUGCUCACACGUAGCCACCAAAAAUACUCAGUCAGUUUUCCACAUAACACUUCUUUCUAUAGCCACAUAUCCAAAAUCGGUGCCACCAAGUUUUCAGAUUCGGCCCUACCGAUUUUCAACCCACACAGAACCCUAGCCAAACCUACCAUUUCGGUACAACCAAUUAUGCAUCGUUGCUACCGAGUUCAGGUGACCAACUUUCUAUUGCCUUGGUACACGAAAUUGGAAUUUUUGUGUUUUGGUAUCGGAGUCACCGAGUUGGGCCAUAUGACCGUUAGCCACAUUUUCAGUUCCACCGAGUUGUGUAUACCGGUCUCACUGAGAUUCAAAAGUUGCUGCCUUUUGUGCAAGUCGGUACCACCAAUUUUAUGACUUCGAUGUCACUGAGUUGGUCACUUCAGGUGUAAUGGUUGGAUUUUGGGUGCUGCCUAUAUAUACCCCUCCACCUACCUCACAUUCGUAGAGGAAGCACUUAGAACACACACUUCAUUGCCAAAACCAUUUUUCUGAGAGAGCGCCACCUACUCAUGUGUUGAGAUCAAGAUAUUCGAAUCCAUCCAUUUGAAACUUGAUCUCUAGCCUCCCCAAGUUGCUUUCCACCAAAUCAAUCUAUCCUACCCACGCAUAUUCUGUGGGAGAGUGAUUGAAUGUUGAGGAGACUAUCUUUAGAAGCACAAGAGCAAGGAGUUCAUUGUUCUACCACAUCUAUUGCCUUUUGGAGGGUGGUGCCUCCUAUAUAUGUUAGGUGUCGCUUGGGAGCCUCGUACAUCGUGUUGUGGAGUUGAACCAAUAUGUUUGUAAGGGCAAGGAGAUCGCCUACUUCAUGAAGAUCUACCGUGAGUGAGGCUAGUCUUGUGUGGACAAAAGCCUUGGUGGAAUAGACAAGACCGCUUCUUCGUGCACCCCUUGUGGGUGGAGCCCUCCGUGGACUCUCGCAGCCGUUACCCUCCAUGGGUGAAGUCUCCACUAAAAUGGACGUACGAUAGCGCCACCUAUCAGAACCAUGCCAAAAAUUGUCGUGUGAACCUCUUGCGUUUGAUCUCCCUACCUUACUCCCUUUAAUUUACACUUGCAUGUUUUACCUUCCCCUGCUAUAUCCUUAGAUGUGCAUGUUAAGGGUGUACUUGACUUGCCAUAAUUGCUAAAACUUGCCCACAACUAAAAUUGGGAAAGGCUAAGUUUUUAUUGGUCAAGUAGUCUAAUCACCCCCUCUAGACAUACUUUCGAUCCUACAGUAUGCACCAUAUAUUCAUAUGCUCAUCAAUGCGAGCAUUGGCAAGCAUGCAUAUCUACUUGAUCGUCCACACAUGCCACUUCAGCCAGAGCUCGAGGACAAUGAAGUUGUGAUGGACCUCGGUCGUCCCAGCUCAGCUACAGCUCGUUAGCACGCAGAGACAGCAAAGGCAGAUGCAGCCAGAGAUGCUCCAGCACCACAGUUGAGAUCUAGAGAGGAGUAGAUGUCAUUUCUUGUCAGCACCAUCCAAGGUAUGGAGAAGAGUAUUUCAUAGAUCUUGCUGAAUCAGAAGAGCCUUGAGAGGAUCGUGGAGACUAGAUUCCAUGACCUGUAUGUCAAAGUGAAAAAGUUGGCUACAAUUGUUGAGCAGCUCCAGCGUGAGGUUGAUGCACUGCAUAUAUCCCAUUCCAGAAAUGAUGAUUAUGAUUUGCCUCAUUCCACAACUACUCAGUUCAAGACCUAGUCUAGGUCUAUAGCUGUGCCAGUGACGGAAGCAAGACCAACUUCAUCAACUCAAUCAUUAAUGCCUUCGGCUCCAGCUCCACCUCCUGCACCUUGAGUGUCAACGCCUCCACCUCUGGGGACAUCCGCUUAAUCCUUCAACGAUGCUCUUCUGUCGACUCCAUCAACUACUACCGGAGGAGAUCGAGCCCAGAGCAACGGUUAGUUCUAGACCUUUGAACUUUUUGGUAACUUGUUGCCAAAGGGGGAGAAGUGUAUAGAUCAUUCAGGGCUGAGAGAGAGAGAGAGGGGGAUCUUUGCUUUUUUAUUUGCUCUCGUUUGGUUUUACAAAACAUUUGGUCUUUUAGAUGACUCGAACUUUCGUGUUUGAUCAUACGCUUUGAUUGUUGAUGCUACUACGUUAUACCUAUGAGUUAUCUACAUGAUAAUCAUUCACUCAUUUUUUGGUGUUAUGUGCAUUACUAUUUAUUCAUAUCAUUUAUGCGCACCACAAAGAUGUAUGUGACAUGGAAAAGUGACCCAUGAUCAUAAUCGAUUGUGCAUUUGCAUUCAAACGCAAAUUUAAAAUAAUGCACAAAUUUAGGGGACCUCUUUCUUUUCACAUACUUCUCGAAGCGACAAUGCUAAUCAUUGAUUUUAUCUUUUGUCGAAGCUUUGAUCUAUAUGUACUCAUCAAUUACAAAAAAGGGAGAGAAUGAAAGCACAAUUGCUCCCUAAGGUGGUUUUGGUAAUUAAUAAGAACAUAUGUGUCAUUGAACGAAUGAUUCUAUCCAAGUAUAUUUCACAAAAGUUCAAAGAUGCACUGGUGUUAGAGCAUAUUUCUCCAUAUGUGGUUUUGGUAAUUGAUGACAAUACCUAUGGACUAAUGGUUGCCUUAAGUUAUAUUUGUAGGAUUUGUCAAUAGACACUUCUUGAAGUCCAUCUGCUGGUUUCAAUGAGUUUAUAUGAUGACCAAGGUGGUAUUCAUGAUUUUAUCCAAAGAUUGGCCAUAAAAACACAAGGUUGAUCAAGACUAAGUCAAAGAGUGAAUCAAGUUGAUCAAUACACAAAGCGUACAAGAUGUACCGAGAGGGAUCAAGUGAUCCAAUGGUAUGGUAAGCAUUGUCCAUUACACUUUUUGUACUAAUCCGUGGUCUUCAUGAGAGUAUUAUGUGGGGUUAGGUGGGUUUCCAUGGGCUUCUGUCAAGAGGAAGAUCUCAUACAACCCAUCGAGGAUGACGUCAAGUGGUGAUCGUCAUCAAGAUUGUAGUUUGCAAGUUCAAGUGGAGCAUCACGAAGAUAUCUUGCUUAUAGCUUGUCGUCCAUUGUGGUGGCAAUGGACUUGUGAAGAUGUGCUGAAGAGUGGCUCGCCCAUACUGGAGUAUGGGGGGCAAUCAACUUGUCUUCAUCGAUCCAACACAAUCAAGAAAGGUGGUCCAUCUUGAGGAAGUCAAGAUCGUCAUAUUCUAGCUCAAGUUGACUAUAUGCAAUGUAUAGGUUUGCCAUUGAUAGGUUUCUCUAUUUUAGGAUAGAUCGUCGUACUGUCAAGGGGGCUCCCAAGUGAGUUGCUUGAUUGUAUCGUUCAUUGAGAGCUCAAACCAUUUACAUCUUUGCAUCAUCUUUCUUGGUUCUUUUUUGGUGAUUCUCUUUGUGAAUUGUAGAUCUUAUGGUCAUCUUCAUUACAAGCUCGAGUUCAUCGAAAACGAAGUCCAUAUGCAUCUUCUAUGAUAUUUUCGAUGUUGGGAGUUUUGUCGGUUCUUCAUUCAUAGAGGUCUCACAUCUCUAUAUUUUUGGUGUUAGAGCAUAUUUCUCCAUAUGUAGUAUUGGUAAUUGAUGACAAUCCCUAUGGACUAAUGGUUGCCUUAAGUUAUAUUUGUAGGAUUUGUCCAUAGGCACUUCUUGAAGUCCAUAUGUUGAUUUCAAGGAGUUUAUAUGAUGAGCAAGGUGGCAUUCAAGGUUUUAUCCAAAGAUUGGUCAUAAAGACACAAGGUUGAUGAAGACUAAGUCAAAGAGUAAAUCAAGUUGAUCAACACACAAAGCGUACAAGAUGUACCAAGAAGGAUCAAGUGAUCCCAUGGUAUGGCAAGCAUUGUCCAUUACACUUUGUGUACUAACACAUGGUCUUCGUGAGAGUUCUAUGUAGCGUUAGGUGUGUUUCCAUGGGUUUGCGUCAAGAGGAAGAUCUCAUUCAACCCACAGAAGAUUGUGGUGUGCAAGUUCAAGUGGGGCAUCAUGAAGAUAUCAUGCUUGAAGCUUGCCGCCCAUUGUGGUGGCAAUAGACUUGUGAAGAUGUGCUGAAGAGUGGCUCACCCAUAGUGGAGUAUGGGGAGCAAUUUACAAGUCUUCAUCGAUCCAGCGCAAUCAAGAAAGGUGGUCCAUCUUGAGGAAGUCAAGAUCAUCAUCAUCUAGCUCAAGUGGACUAGGUGCAAGGUAUAGGUUUUCCCUUGAUAGGUUUUUCUAUUUUAGGAUAGAUUGACGUACUGUCAAGGGAGGCUCUCAAAGUGAGUAGCUUGAUCGUAUCGUUUGUUGAGAGCUCAAACCAUUUCCAUCCUUGCAUCAUCUUUCUAGGUUCUUGUUUGGUGGUUCUCUUUGUGUGUUUUAGAGCUUAUGGUCAUCUUUAUGACAAGCUCGAGUUCAUCGAAAAUGGAGUUCAUGUGCAUCUUCUACGAUGUUUUCGAUGUUGGAGUUUUUAUCGGUUCUUCAUUCGUAGAGGUUUCACAUCUCUAUAUAAUUGGCAUUUUUCUAGUACCUCUUAUUGCUAUAACAUUCGUUGUUAGGAUAGUACUUGUCAUCUGCUAUCCAACAAGCUUGAGUUUGCUCAAUUCGGAACUCGUAUGCGAAAGUUAUGGUUGUUUUUGUCUUACGUGUUUUUCACUCAGAGGUUGUACCGCCCCUAAGAGAGAUAUACCGCUUGACCGGUACAACCGGUGUUUGGAGCGGUUGUACCGCUCCAAAAUUGGUCCGGAGGUUGUACCGGCCAUGUACCGCUCUACCACCGAACUAGGUUCUAUUUUGGAGCGUUUCUUGGGCGGUUGAGGGUCGGUUGCACCGCCAUAUUACAUUUACCAGUUGUACCACCCACAUCACCCGUUGUACCGCCCGUGUGUUAUUCUAAACAUAACAGGCAUAUUUGUGGGGACCCAUUUAAGGGGGUCUUCUUCCCAAUGGUUCCCCAACUCUUGAGCUCGUUUUUCCCCAUUGUUGAACUUCUUAGAGCUUGCUAACUCUCAAUCCCUCCAAUGAUUCUUGCUCCUUUUUGAGGGAAAAGAUAGGGGAGAUCUAGAUCCACAUUUCCACCAAUCACUUUCUACUUUGUGUGAGGGGAACCCCUUGGAUCUAGUUCUUCGAGUUCUUGGUGUUCUUCUUUGUUCUUCCUCUCAUUUUACACCAUAGCAUUAGUUGUUGUGGUGGGAUUUGGGAGAGAAGGACUUGGGCACUCCGAGUGCCCUUGCCAUUGCAUCUCGUGCAUAGGUUUGAGUUCUCCACAGUGAUACAUGAAAGUAAAGUUUGAGAAUCUUAUUACUCUUGGGUGCUUGGUACCUUAAAGCUUGUUCUUGUUGGGUGCUUUAGCAUCCUAGAAGCUUGGUGGUGCCUGGGAGAUCAACCAUUGUGGUGUACAGCUCCGGGCAAGUGUCGGGGGUCUCCAAUUAGGUUGUGGAGAUUGCCUCCAGCAUUUGAGGUUACCUCGAACAAUAUUCCAUUGUGGUGAAGCUUUAUGGUGUUGUUGGGAGCCUCCAAUUAAGUUGUGGAGAUUGCCCCAACCUUGUUUGUACGGGUUCGGUGACCGCCCUCAAGGUUCCCUUAGUGGAAUCACGACAUCUUCCCUUGUGCGAGGGAGUGAGGAGAUUACGGUGGCCUUAUUGGUAUCUUGGGGAGCAUUGUGCCUCCACACCGCUCCAAACGAAGAUUAGCAUCCGCAAGGGUGUCAACUUCGGGAUACAUUGUCGUCUCUGCGUGCCUCGAUUAUCUCCUACCCAAGCCCUUUACUUAUGCACUUUACUUUGUGAUAGCCAUAUUGUUUCUUGUUAUAUAUCUUGCUAUCACUUAGUUGUUUAUCUUGCUUAGCGUAAUUUGUUGGUGCACGUAGGUGAACCUAGUUGUUUUAGGUUUUGUGCUUGACAAAUUAAACGUCAGUUUUAUUCCGCAUUUUUUCAAGCCUAAACCGUAAUUAUUUUAAAGAGCAUAUUCACCCCCCUCUAGGUGACAUCCACGUCCUUUCAAUUGGUAUCAGAGCUAGGUCUCUCAUUAUUAGGUUUUACCACCUAGAGAGUAAGGAUGUCGACUAGGGGAUUAGGAUUCUUUGACAUUCUUAGUUUCAGUGGCACAAAUUUUCAUGUUUGGGUAAUUCGCAUGCUUAAUCUCUUUAGGGUUAUUGACCCAAAUUUAGAGCAAAUUGUAGAUAUGGGGUUUUCUCCUCCAAAGGAUUCCCAAAACACAUCUUUAGAGGAUGCGAAAAACUCUUAUCUCAAUGCUCAAGCUUCUAAUGUGCUUUUUGAUGUGUUGAGCAGUGUAGUUAUAUUUCAACUCAUGCCAUUCCGGGAUGCUCAUGAGUUGUGGACAAAGCUUCAAUAUAAAUAUGGUGUGUCCAAGAUUUGUAGGGAUGAUUGUUCUCCCUCCACCUCCGGUGGUGUUGUUUUCUCAACUUCGUCUACUUCACCUACAUGUGGAUUGCCACAAUGUAAUGAUAUGGUGAGUAGUGGUGAUCAUUGCAAUGAUGAUAGUGGGCUUAUUGUUGAUGAUCCUUCAUCACUAUCUUAUUGUAAUGCUUCAUCUUUGGGCGUUAACACUUGGACCGCUCUAAAUUUUUUACAUGCUUGUGUUUAUAGUCCUUGCAUAUCAUGUAAAAACUGACUGACUAAAUCUCAUGAUGACAUGCUUUCUAUAUCUUGUUGCCAUGAUAAAAAUGUAUCUAUUUCCUCGAGUUGUUGUGCUAACAAUGUAGAGGAAAUCCAUCACUUCAUGGAACAAUAUGUGGCCUUGAAUGAUGCUUCAAGGGAUCCUACAUCAUCAUCUAUUGUUUCUCACUUUUGCCUUAUGGCUAAGGCUUCAAAGGUAUCUACUACUUUGAAUCCCAAUAUAUUUCAUGAUGAUGAUGUUGAUGAUAAUGAGGAUGAGGAUAAUGAUGAAGAGAGUGAAAAUAUUGCAUCCUUAAAACUUAAGGGUGAAAUGAUUUUUAAAGCUCUUCAUAAGAAUAAUCUUGCUCGUUCCAACUUCAUGGAAAUCAUGUCUAUUGCCAUUGAGUGCAAGAAUUAUAUUGAGGAGUUGGAAUCUCAUCUCGAGGAGCAUGAGGCCACCAUUGAGAUAAUGGAAGGUCAUGAGCGUGAUUACGCUAAUGAGAUAGUGGAGCUAUCCCAAGCUAUUGAAAAUGAACAAACCACCAAGGAAUCUCUUGAGGAGACCUUUGCCCUAGAAUUAUCUAGAUUAAAUAAAUCCCAUGAUAGAGCUCUUGAGGUGGCUAAUGAUUUUAGAACUAAAAUGAUAAGCUUGAAGUUGCUCAUGCUAAACUCCUUGAGGACAAUGAGCACCUCAAAAAUGUCUCAAGGGCUAUUAAUAGUUCGCUCAUCGAGCUCACUGAGUCUCAUGCUCAACUUGGAGCUUCAUAUGCAAAUGAGCUUGCCACGUUGCCUUCUCCUCUUGUUGUUAAUAUUGAUGCUUGUGCUUCUAACUCUAUUUCUUGUGAAGCAUUUGGGGGAUUUGGGAGAGAAGGACUUGGGCACUCUGUGUGCCCUUGCCAUUGCAUUUGGUGCAUAGGUUUGAGUUCUCCACGGUGAUAUGUGGAAGUAAUGUUUGAUAAGAUUAUUACUCUUGGGUGCUUGGUACCUUAGAGCUUGUUCUUGUUGGGUGCUUUGGCAUCCUAGAAUCUUGGUGGUGCCUCGGAGCUCAACCAUUGUGAUGUAAAGCUCCGGGCAAGCGUCGGGGGUCUCCAAAUAGGUUGUGGAGAUUGCCUCGAGCAUUUGAGGUUACCUCGAAGCCAUAUUCCAUUGUGGUGAAGUUUCGUGGUGUCGUUGGCGGCCUCCAAUUAAGUAGUGGAGAUUGCUCCAACCUUGUUUGUACGGGUUCGAUGACCGCCCUCAAGGGUCCCUUAGUGGAAUCAUGACAUCUUCCAUUGUGUGAGGGCAUGAGGAGAUUACGGUGGCCUUAUUGGCAUCUUGGGGAGCAAUGUGCCUCUACACCGCUCCAAACGGAGAUUAACAUCCGCAAGGGUGUGAACUUCGGGAUACAUCGUCGUCUCUGCGAGCCUCAUUUAUCUCUUACCCGAGCCAUUUACUUAUGCACUUUACUUUGUGAUAGCCAUAUUGUUUCUUGUUAUAUAUCUUGCUAUCACUUAGUUGUUUAUCUUGCUUAGCAUAAGUUGUUGGUCCACACAGGUGAGCCUAGUUGUUUUAGGUUUUGUGCUUGACAAAUUAAACGUUAGUUUUAUUAUGCAUUUUUUAAGCCUAAACCGUAAUUAUUUUAAAGCGCCUAUUCACCCCCUCUAGGCGACAUCCACGUCCUUUCAAUUGGCAUUUUCAUAACUGCAUGUUCUUAAGAUUUCCAGUCGUUGUUGGAUCGCUCUUGUCGUCCUGAAUCCAACAACUUUGAGUUUGCUCAAUUAGAGCUUGUAUGCGAAAGAUAUGAUAGUUCUGGUUUUCUUCUUUUGCGUGUGGUCUACCUGGAAUGAUCCAAGGGUAGUACCGCCCGGGCCGGCGGUAGUGGCCCAGCUUGUACCGCUGGCUAGUACUGCUGCCCAUAAGUUCGACACCUUUUUUGGUCGGACUUUGCGGUAGUGUUGGGCGGUAGUACUUCUCCUGCUCCUGGCGGUACUAUCGGCCCUGCACCCUCUCAGUCCGGCCUCCCUCUGCAUGAGCGGUAGUACCGCUCUGGCUCGGACCGAGGGGGUAAUUGUUGGAUUUCCCCCUUCCUAUUUAAGGGGUCUUAUUCCCCAAAGGUCUCUAUCCGUUGAGCCCGCGUUCUUCCCCCAUUGUUGACCUUCUUUGAGCUCGCUAACUCUCAAUCCAUCCAAUGAUGCUUGCUAAUUCUUGAGGGAAAAAAGGGAGGAGAUUUAGAUCCACAUUUCCACCAAUCACUUUCUCCUCUAUGUGAGGGGAACCCUUUGGAUCUAGAUCUUGGAGUUCUUCGUGUUCUUCUUCGUUCUUCCUGUCAUUUUCUUCCAUAACAUUAGUUGUUGUGGAUGGAUUUGAGAGAGAAGGACUUGGGCACUCCGUGUGCCCUUGCCAUUGCAUUUGGUGCAUAGGUUUGAGUUCUCCAUAGUGAUACGUGGAAGUGAAGUUUGAGGAGCUUAUUACUUUUGGGUGCUUGGUACCCUAAUAACUGUUCUUCUUGGGUGCACGUUUUUCCGUUUACCCUAAUACCCCGAGAUCUUUGUCGUUUGCGCGUUUUUCCUUGAAACUUUUGUUCCAGCGAAGUACCGGUCGCCUGAGCGGUACUACCGCUUGUACACACGCUGAGUGCAUAACAGUUGGAUUUUGAGGGUCCUAUUUAAGGGGGUCUUCUUCCCCAUUGGUCUCUAACUCUCGAGCUCAUGUUUGCCCCCCAUUGUUGACCUUCUUAGAGAUUGCUAACUCUCAAUACCUCCAAUGAUUCUUGAUAGUUCUUGAAAGAAAAGAGAGAGGAGAUCUAGAUCCACAUCUCCACCAAUCACUUUCUGCUCUAUGCGAGGGGAACCCCUUGGAUCUUGAUCUUGGAGUUCUUUGUGAGCUCCUUGUUCUUCCUCUCAUAUUCCUCCAUAGCUUUUGUUAUUGUGGAGGGAUUUGAGUGUGAGGGACUUGACCACUUCGUUUGUUCUUGCCAUUGCAUUAGUUGCAUCGGUUUGAGUUCUCCACGGUGAUACGUGGAAGUGAAAAAUUUUAGAAGCUUGUUACCCUUGGGUGCUUGGUACCCUAGAGAUUGUUCUUUGUGGAUGCUUUGGUGUCCUAGAAGCUUGGUGGUGCCUUGGAGCUCAAUCAUUGUGGUGUAAAAGCUCUGGGCAAGUGUCGGGGUCUUUAAUUAUGUUGCAGAGAUUGCCCCGAGCAUUUGAGGUCAUCUCCAAGCCACAGUCCAUUGUGGCGAAGCUUCGUGGUGUUGUUGAUAGCCUCCAAUUAAGUUGUGGAGAUUGCCCCAACCUUAUUUAUAUGGGUUCGGUGACCACCCACAAGGGUCCCUUGGUGGAAUCACGGCAUCUUGCAUUGUGCGAGGGCGUGAGGAGAUUAUGGUGGCCUUAGUGGCAUCUUGGGGAGCAUUGUGCCUCCACACCGCUCCAAACGAAGAUUAACAUCCGCAAGGGUGUGAACUUCAGGAUACAUCGUCGUCUCUGCGUGCCUCGGUUAUAUCUUACCCGAGUUCUUUACUUAUGCACUUUACUUUGUGAUAGCCAUAUUGUUCCUUAUUAUAUAUCUUGGUAUCACUUAGUUGUUUAUCUUGCUUAGCAUAAGUUGUUGGUGCUAAUAGGUGAGCCUAGUUGUUUUAGGUUUUGUGCUUGACAAACUAAAUGUUAGUUUUAUUCCGCAUUUGUUCAAGCCUAAACCAUAAUUAUUUUAAAUCACCCAUUCACCCCCCUCUAGUCGACAUCCACGUCCUUUCAACGACUGAUAUACGAAAGGUCACUUGAUAGCUGAAUGGUUUUGGUGUAGUGGAGAUUGAAUAUGAAGGCUGCACUCUUCGGCUGCUGCCUGUUCUUUUCAUCUCCCUCUUUUGCUUCGCCUCCCGUCGUUGCAUGUUCGUCUCCUUCUCUUGUGGCCAUAAAGGAGAAGUCACUCCUCUCGAGAGAAACACACAAGAGCAUCAUCUUCCUCACGCCAUCUAGUUCCAAUAUCUGAGCUGCUGGUUCUUUGCCAUCCCGGCUUGCGGCGUGCACCACAGGCCGGGACAGCAUGCCUCCGAAACCCCGCCUCUUUGAGUCUUAUACGGGAGAAGGGUGAUAAGAUUUUUGGGGAGCACUGUGCACGACUACUGGCUUCUUCAUCAUAGACACCACGGACGUCGACGACCUCUUCCGGAACGACAACUUCUUUCUCGACGUCAACAACCUCUUCGACAACAUGGAUGAUGUCAAUGCCAGUCCCACUCCUGCUGCUGUUGCAACUCAGUACGUGUUCGUGUUCUUCUUGUUUGAAUUCCUAUCUCAACUUAUUGCUCUAGUUUAUAUUGGAUAUGUUGCAUUCCUACUCACCACUUCAGAUGCUCCUUGCAUACUUUUUAUUUUAUUGCGUGACUUGUCUUAUAACUGCUAUAGUAGUCAUGAUUUAUCUAUUAUUUCUGCUAGUAAAAUCACAUGGUAAAACACUUAUAUUUCUAGCAUUUGCUAUGUUUGAUUUGAACUAUUUGCUAUACUUGGAUGGACGUGAUGCAACCAAAAGACGACCACACAUUGGAUGCACGCUUUGCGCAUCAAGAAAUCCAUGCAAAUGUCGCUCCAAUGCGACCUCAAACGAACAAAGUCCGGAUAAAACAGACGUCCGUUUAAAAUAUAUUUUUUAAACAUAGUACAUAUGCAAACCCUCGUAUACAGACACAUACACUCACCUAUAUGAAUAUACACACGCACUCCUUGUCUUUAUGAGCAACUUAAAAAAAACUGAGCUACGCAUGAGCUUAAAAUUUAUAAAAUCAUCAUAGACACCUCGUUGUCGACGGGAACGCCUUCUUUCACUAAAUACGCAUCAUCAAAAAUAUUAAAAUAAAAGCGAACACGAGAAUUCAAGACCUGAUCGACUGAGAUACCGUACUCUAACCAUCCAACCAUGAUUCACGUCCAUUUGGAAUAGUUCGAGUCGCUGUACCGCGCGAAAGGAAAGAAAGGUUUGACAACGAGAACAGCUACUGACUGCGCAUGACACGCAGAAAUUUACCUUCUCUAUUGAGCACCAAAAUCGAUGGUCCGUCGGUCCAAAGCACCAGACCACCCUACAGUUCUACACACCGACAGCGAUAGCGCGCGGUAGAGUGUGGACUGUGGACGGGCCCGACGUCAACGGCACGGCGACCCUCCGGCGUCACCCUCCAGGCGUACGCGGCCGCAGCUGGCACCAUUUGCAUGAUCACCACCGCACCGCACCGCACCGUCUGCAGGGCUGGCAUAGCGUGGCCGCAUUGACCUCGUGCCCUCCCACGCCGGCGCGAGGAGGUAAAAUAGUAAGCGGCAGCGUACGGGGGUAGGCGCCGAGCCGCCGACCGACACAGGGGCAGUAGGGUACUAGGGUGCGCGUCGGCGCGAGCGGGACCAAGACGGAAGGAAGCCACGCGAAGCUCGCUGCUUUCUUUCUUGCUUGCCUCCUCCGUCCUCCCGCCCCCAAAAUAAAAAUCUGAAAACAGCAAGGCACCAAACGCCCGGGAGCACCCAACACACCACCACACACCAUUUCUUCCCCCUCCCCGCGGACCUCAGCCGGCUUACCCUCCCGCCUCCUCCUCCUCCGAAAGCCCAGGUCAAACUCCCCCAGCCAGCGAGGGAGACGGGGGAGAGAGGAGAGAGAGGCUCUCGGAUCCGAGCUGCUCCCUCCCGUGCCCGCCCAGAUCUCCUCCGCAGCCCAGCACCCGACGCCCCGGAUCUGCGCCCGUCGCAAAGGUAUUCCCUUUUUCAUCCAAUCUCGCUCCCCGGAUCUGCGCCUCCUCCCCGGAGCCGGAGGUGGCUUCCGUUCCUAGCUCCGCGGCUGCAGAGUAGGAGUAGCUAGCUAACUUAGCUGAUCUAGUUUAGAUGAUGAUGAUGAUAAGCAUCGAGAGCGGAGUUUAUGGUAGGCCCACCAGAGCAAAUCUCGCCUCCCGGCUCCGGGGAUCUCGAGCUCCGGUAGAUAUCAUUAUGUCUUUCCAAUUUAAACCCCGCAAAAUGUUUUAAGGAUCUGGGUCUGGCUUUGAUGAAAUCUCCGAGGCUCAUGCCGUGCUACUUUUGGUCA
rnacentral:lncRNA from 1 species